UCCCCAAAUAGUGAACUAUAAUUUGGAAAAAUGAGGAAUACUUUUGGAAUGUUUGGAGAAAAUCCUGGAGUUAGUUGGACCAGAAGGAGUAGUAUACUAACGUGUAUUUUGUUAUUAACUGUGGUACUAGGAGUUUCUCUCUACUAUCGGCCAAGAUUAACAGCCACAGCUGGAUUCUUUGGUGGAGUCUGCUUUGUGAAAAGAGCUUUGAAGAAGCAGAGCCUGCACCAUAAAAAGGAAAGGGCUGCUCUUCUAGACAUAACAAAGCAUCCGUGUGAAACUAGAAAUGUGGAAAUCUAUAUUGUUAUUUUUAAUUACAGACAAACUUUUAGAAACUACAGGUUCAUGGUCAGUCAUAAAGUAGAGAAAGCAAAGGAGUUCAUCAGAGAAUGAAAGCAACACAGUCUAACGAUACUGCUUUAGUUUCUUGAAGAUUGAAACCCCAUGGCCUGUGACAUUGGAAGUCAUUUUGUAUUUAGGCUCCUGACAAGCUUAUCCAAGUUAUAGUAAAAUAAGAUAAAAUAAAAAUAAAACAAAACCAACAACAGGACAAAGGAAGUUUGUGUUAUUCUUGGAGAGAAAUUUCAUGUUAUACUAUUGAAUAUCAGUGUAGAAAAAAGAAAAUAUUAUGUAUUGAAACAAGACUUUUGAGAAAGAAUUGCGUUUUCAAACAAGCUAAAAUAUGUUCUCGGUUUUUACCAAAGCUUAGGCUGUAGAAGUGUUGUUCCUUAAUAUAGAAGGCCGUCCUCUAACGGGGUGUUGGAAUGUUUCAUUAUCUUUACAACUUGGAGCAUCAGAGUUUUCACUGAUUUCGUAUUGUAGAACUGAGUGGCUAUCCUUGGUUAUUUUUUUAGAUUUGUUGGUGUCCUAGCAGUUCAAGAAUCAACUGUUUUAUAGAUUGUAUAUUUCUUUAGGAGUCCUGGUGGCACAGUGUUUUAAGCACUCAGCUGCUAACUGAAAGAUCAGUGGUUCGAAACCACCAGUGGCUCCUUGGGAGAAAGAUGUGGCAAUCUGCUUCCGUAAACAUUUACAACCUUGGAAACCCUAUGGGGCAGUUCUACUCUGUCCUAUAGGGUCACCAUGAGUCGGAAUUGACUUGAUGGCAAUAGGUUUGGUUUUGGUUUUUAUUUCCUUAAAAUGCUGGUUUGGUUUCUUUGAUGGAAAUUGUCGAGGCCAGAGAAACUUUUCUAUUUGUCAUUGAACUAAUAAACAGAAAGAAUUCACUGGGCAGAAGCCCUUUCAUUAUAAGAUUUUAUUUGGCUUUUACUUAUGAUUCCCUGUGCACCCAUAAUACUACAGUGAAUUAUUUGUUGAUUGGGACAUCUAAUGUAGAUCAACAAUGACUUCCUAACUAAGAUGGCUAGUCCGUUUGAUCCUCUUGUUGCUUGGGGGUAACACAGAGUGCCUGAGGCAACAGUUGUGAUACCCUCAAUGAGCACAUGAGACGUCAUGAUAGUCCUAGUCCAGCAAUUCUACGUUAAGAAACGUUAGAAAAAAUUCUGAUGCUCUGGCGUUACGAAAAGAUGACUGCUGAGAUUGAACCGUAACGGUUAGUUUUAUUGGUGUGAAUAGAGGUAGUAUGUGCAGGGAUGUCUUCUGUGGAUGAUUGGUGCUCUUUACCUAAACCCAGUUUCACCUCUGUGUUUGGAUUAGUUUGGCUAACUGAAAAAUCAUAUCUGUUUUCAGACAGGGAAAACUUUUGAUGCUUUUGGAACUCACUGGUCUGUGUGUGUGUGUGUGUGUAUAUAUAUUUGACAACCUAAUAUGGACCGGCACUGUUAUAGGCACUAAGGAGGAUAUUUAGUUCUAUAAAUAAUUUUGUAAAUUUCUACCAGGCUUCUAGUGUUAAUCUGUACUGUGCUCGGUAUAGGGAUAUAAACCAACCCACCGCCGUCUAGUUGAUUACGACGCACAGUGACCCUAUAGGGCAGAGUAGAACUGCCCCACAGAGUUUCCAAGGAGCGCCUGGUGGAUUCGAACUACUGACCUUUUGAUUAGCAGCCGUAGCUCUUAACCACUAUGCCACCAGGGUUUAUAGAGAUGUUUAAAUCAUGAUCUUGCCCUGAAGGAGUUUACAGUUAAGUAAAGUGAACAGUGUGAAAAAUGAUACAUCCCUACUCUCAGGGAGUCCACAGCCUUGAUGGAGAGUUGAAACUAAAUUUGAAACCAUUAAAUGAAAACAUAAGGGUGCAUUAUUUUCAUUUGUUCUUAAAAUACUCAUUUAUUGUGCGUUGACUAUUUGCCGGGCACUGUGCUGGAUGAUGGAAACCCUGGUGCCGUAGUGGUGAAGUGCCAUGGCUGGUAACCAAAAGGUCAGCAGUUCACAUUCACCAGACGCUCCUUGGAAACUCUAUGGGGGCAGUUCUAUUCUGUCCUGUAGGGUCGCUGUGAGUCGGAAUCAACUCGACAGCAGUGGGUUUUUGGUGCUGGAUGAUAGGAGGUAUUGUGAUCUAGUGGGACAGACAUAUGUAAGUGAAUAAUUAUAAUUUAGUGUCAUAAAUGCAGCAUUAGAGAUAUCCCUGGAUGUUACGGUGGCAUAGAGGAGGGAUUUCUGUGCAACAUAUGGAUGCUUUCUAGAGGAGGUAAUGCCUCAGCUGAAUUUUAAGAAUGAAUGAGAAUCAGCCGAUGGGGAAAGACAUUAUAGGUAGAGGGGACAAUAUGCAAGAGACCACAAGGACUGGGGUUGCUGAAAUAUAAUGUGCAAGGCAGGAGGUGGUAGGAGGUGAGGGUAGAGAGGUAAGCCAGAGCUAUCAUUUGGUAAAGUUAUUUCAACUUUCUGAGCCUUGAUUUGCUUAUUUAUAACAUUUAAGAUUCUGUUAAAAAUUGUGUUAGUAUUUGCAAGGCAUAGGAGACAAGUAGAGUCUGCUGGUGACCACAAGAUAAGCUUCUUUCUUUAGGACUGCAGAUGUUGAAUGUUGUUUAAAGGAAGAUGAGAUAAAGGUAACGCUGUUCUGGUGUGAUGAUUUUUAUAGAGUUUUCAAAUUUGGGAUCAGAUUUUAAAUGUACAAUUUAUUCAAGAGACUUGUUUUCGCCUAUUACUGACUUAUUGCUGAGGAUUAUGCAUGUUAUAUUUGUCAUGCUUCAGUUGUGGAGAAGAGCCUAUUUGCAAAUGGGCAAUGAAUUUCUUCCUAAAUGUAAAUCUGAUACUACUAUUUUCCUGAAUAGUACUUUGCCUUUUUUAGUGUUCUAGACUUAUUUGCUUGUUUUCUGGAAUAUGUGAAGUGUUUUUAAAUUUUUUAAAUAAAUUCUAAUAUUAAGUAUUUUGUCUUUUUUUUUUUUGCAAAUAAUCAUCUAAGAUGAUCUGGGGGGCAGUGCUUUGCAUGAAUUAGCAAAGGUUGAUUGAAAAUUAUUUUUCCCUCUCAGGAGCCUCUUGAAUUUUGAGUUUGGGUAGGGGAUUUACUGGUUUGCAGAUGGACUUCGAAGAAAAUGAGCCACGACACAGCUUUAUUAAGGCAGGUUAGAGCCUACAGUAGCUGGAGGCAGAGAGGGGGCUGGACUUCCAAAGCUGUCCUAUAAGAGGAAGGGAAAACCUUUCCAGAAGCCCCCAGCAUACCUUCAGCAGUGCUGCCCAGUAGAUAUAUAAUGAAAACCACAUAUGUGAUUUUGAAUUUUCUAGUAGCCACAUUAAAAAAUACAAAAAGAAACAGGUGAAAUUAAUUUUAGUAUUGUAUUUUAUUUAAUCCAAGAUCAUACCAUUUCAUCAUGUAAUCAUAAACCCAUUAAUGAGGUGUUUUACCUUGUUUUUCAUGCUACAUCUAUGAAAUCUGGUAUAUCUUAUACUUACAGCACAUCUCAGCUUGGACUAGCCAUAUGAAACUUGGCUACUGACUACCUUACUGAGCAGCACAGCUCUAAAGUCUCAUUGGGUAGUAUACUGAUUUCUGAACCAGUCAGUGUCAGUGGAGAUAGGAUUACUUUUGGAGCAGUGAAGCCCACCCCUGGACCUGGAGAUGGAGUCAGUUAUAAGUGGGUAGGGUGAAUACCAGUUCAAAAUUGGAGGUCUUUCAGAUGGAUGGAGCCGGGAGAGUGGAUGCUUGGAAGACAUUCAUUAGUGAUGGAGAUAAGGCAGUUAACUGACUUGUGCCAGAUAUAGAAGAACUUGACCAGGUGCAUCUGUAGAGCAAACAGGAAUAAUGUUCUCUGUUAUCCUGUCUGCCCUGAUUUAUUUGAGGUGUUCUCCUUUUCCUUUCUGAAGCCUUGUUUGCCUGGAGUAAAAGGUACCUGAUCUUUUUGAUGGUUGCUUUCCAUCCCAGUUAGAUCAGAUAACCCCCAUUUAUUUCUUUCUUCUCUCGCUGUUGUGGUUUUCUUAUCUACAUAAAGUUCUCAGCCUUGUUUGCAAUUUAAGUAUAGAGCUUAGUAGUGUCAGGCAGCAAACUCCUUAAAGGGGAAUGGACAACACAGAAACUUCUAGUUUAUCAAUUCCUUGACCUAAAAUUCUUGCUCUGAGAUAGGGAGAAAAGGUGAAGAGAGACAUUUGAACGAAUAAAUAAAAUUAGUCAUUUGACCCAGAUUGCAGCUUUUUUGUCUGCAUGGAUAAAAAUCACCCUCCAAUUUACAUAAGCAGGUGAUUUUUCUUACAUGCUAAUUUUCCUAAUGUACCAUGGCAGAGAGCUGCAGAUUUGCAAAUUGUGAAAGUAAAUUGAGAUAAACCAGGUGACUUUAUUUUGCUGUAUUAUCUUACCAGUACAGAAGUACCCAAAGGGUGCAAUUAUCAGGUGAUUGUCUCAUUGCACAUGUAAGUUAACAGGCAGCCUGGUGCAAAGUUUUUUUCCCCCACCAUCUUCUCCACCUCCCUCACUUUUUUAAUUAAAAAAAAAAAAAAAAAGGAAACGAUUGAUUCCUAUAUUUACUUAGACAAGGCUGAGAAUUUAGUAAUACAAGUGUGGGGAAAUUUGAGCUUCAUUAAAAAUAAUCCAGAAACCGUAAAAGUUGGUAAGCAAUGUAGGUACUGUGCCGAAAAAGGCAUAUGUAGACUUGGUUUGAAAUUGCCCAAGAGAAUUACCUGAAAACCUUUAACCGUGUUUAAUUAGUUGGCUUCCUCUGUGUUCAUUUUCCCAGGUUCUGCAUGUUAUAGUGAUUGGAGUUAUUGUGAAGUUAACUGGGCAUGUACUGAAGCCAAUGUUCAAAAUAAAUAUUGAUGCAUAUUGUUUUAAAAACCAAACUGAUUAAUUGCAACACAUUUACAACAUCAUUUGAAUAAAAUUUUAGAAAGGUAUAACAGUUGGCUUUAGUGGCUGCUUUUCCAUUAGAUUCAUGAGGAAAAAUGUCCAUCAGUAAAGCACCUUCCUUUAUUAAAACGUAAACUUAGUAAUUAUAAUGUUAAUUUCUCAGAUGUUAUAAUAUCCACUUAGUGAUACGUAUGGAGACUAAAUUGUACUCUCUAUAGGUUUAAUUACUUGGUUAUGAAUAAUAAUUUUAAACAAGUAAGUUAAAAGUUUUUAUCCCAGUUCUUCUGUAUCUUUUCCCUUCAGUUUAAAGAAAAUCAGUUUAGAAGAACUUUCAGAGCGAAAGCAGUUGAAGAAUGACCUAGUACAACAUUUAAGUACAAAAAAACGGUAUGAUUUAAUAGUAAGAUCGUGUACUGACAGCAGACUGCCUGGUUUUAAACUGCGGGCAAAUUAUUUAUCCUCUUUGUGCCUCAUGGUCUUCAUGUGUGAAAUGGGGAUAGUAAUAGUACAUCUAUUUCAUAGAGUUGUUGUGAGAAUUAAAUGAGUCAAUGUAUAUGUAAAGUCUUAGAACUGUGCCUGGCACUAUGUAAUUGUUAGCUAUCCAUUAUUAUUACCAGUUCAAGAUGUAAGUGGAAAAAUACUGUACCUCCUUAAAACUUAUUAAUUUGGAGGAAAUAACCAGCAGCUUUUGUGUGGUUGUUGGCAGGUAUCAGGUAUGUUACUAUUCACUGGAGAUUUUUUUUUUCCCUGAUUAACUCCAAUUGUUUUUGAAAAAUUCAUUCAAAUUCUAGAAUGCUUUCCAAAUGUAAAACUUCUUUUUCCACAUAAAAGUUUUUUUUCUUUCUUUUUAACUACCUCCUUCUCAUUAUCAAAGUAAUAAUAUGUUUACUGUAGGAGACUUGAAGAAUACAGAAAAGCAGAAAGAGAAAAAAGUCACUUGUAACCUAUACCUCAAAGAUGAUCACUGAUAACAUUUUGAUGUAUUUUUUCCCAGUCUUCUAUCUAAAUGUGUUUAUAAUAUUGUGAGAAUUGGAAUCAUGGUCAUAGUGUGUAUUUACAAUUUGUAUCCUGUUUGUUUCACUGACAAAGGCAGACUUCGACCAUUUAAUUCUCACAAGUUUAGAGCGUUACUUGAAAGGAUAUUUUAGAAACAUCUAUUCCAGCUAUUUCAUUUUACAAACGGGAAAAUUGAGACCCAGAGAAGCUAAGUGAUUUGUUCAGGGUCACACAGCUGGUUGGCUAAGCCAGAAGCAGCUUUGCCCUUGCUGCUUUACCAGUAAUACCUGUUCAACUUAAUGCCCAUUCGAAGUGGAGGAAGUUUUCUUAUAAAAGCAAAGCAAAACAAAAACUCCAUAAAUGAAAUGAGGAGCAGUGCAUCUGGAAAACCACAGAAUAUGUAGAAUACCCUGUUGGUUGUUCUGUGUGUGUGCCAUUGACUCUGAGGUUUCUGGUAUAAGUUUAAUGUCAUGACUACAAGGUUUUUGGUGGAGAACAACCCAGUCUUCCCACGUUUUAUGUAACUGUGUUGUGUGUCUAUGUUGAGAAUAUUGUGGCUGCCCUUUUUUUAGUCUGAAAAUUUUAAAUUUCAGAAAACUUGAAAGAAUUGUACAAUGAUAUACCAGUAUACCUUUCUUCUAGAUUUAUCAGUUGUUAACAUUCUGUGAUUUUUGCUCUAAGGUUACUUUGAGACUGUUUCUACAGAACUUGCUGAGAUUGAGUUUCAAUUACAUUUUAGUUACAAUGUUAAGAAAUUUAUGGUCAGUGCAUCAACUCAUUGUUCCACGUGAUAAGUUUUAUAAGCUCUCCAACUAGAGAAGGAACUGGAAGUUUCCAAGCUUGUGACUGUUUUGGAAUGCUAUUUAUUCUCUUAAUACUUAAGACAAAAUUCAGUGUGAAUGAAAUGUGUAACUGAAACAUGUACCAGUCAAAACUAGGCUUCAGGCGGAAUGGAAAAAUUCCGUUCUGUAAAGUUUUUAUUUUUUGUGAUAAUGUUUCUCAGGUUGGGAGUUAGGAGACGUUUUUCAAAAUAAGAACCUAAGACCUGGUUUCACAAUUCUGUGGGAGAGGACAUGAUUGAGGAUAUUACAUUAUUGAAGCUAAACUUUAAGUUUCUGUUUUUUUUUUUUUUUUAAUUACCCUAAUGCAGGCACAUGAGCUGAUGAUGAUGUGAUUUGUGUCACCCAAUUCACUGCUCUGUAUUUUUCAGUACCAAAUAAUUCCUUUGUUAAACUCAUUUUCAGUAAAUGAGCCAUUGUUUCCCAAAGGGUAAUCAUUAUUUCUAUAUAUAGCACAAAGCCUUAAGAAUUAGAUUUAAAACCUAAAAUAUUAGGUAGUGAUUAGAAAUGAUUGAAAUUGCCACUCUGUGUAUGUCAAACCACAGCUGUAUAUAUAAAAAGGGCAGCUGCUGUGUUGGCUCCCUAGGCUACAAUAUGAGAUAUUAUGCUUACUAGAGCCCGAAGUCUGACAAACCAAAACCCAAACCCAGUGCUGUCAAGUCAAAUCCGACUCAUAGCGACCCUAUAGGACAGGGUAGAAAUGCCUCAUAGAGUUUCCAGGGAGCACCUGGUGGAUUCGAACUGCCGACCCUUUAGUUAGCAGCCGUAACACUUAACCACUGCGCCGCCAGGGUUUCCCAAAGUCUGACAGCAAGUCUUUAAAAGUCAGGUCUUUUGGUUUAGGCACUAAGAACCUGACUGUGAAUAUAAGAAAAAUAAGAGCAUAUUUUUAUUGACCCAACCCAGCCAUUAUAUUACUCAUUUUUGUAAUGUAAAUACCUAGGAAGUAGUUGGGAGUUCAAAUACAAGUGACUUGUGAUAGGUAAGGAAAUGCAUAAAAAAAAAAAAAAACCUCUUGCCAUUGAGUUCAUUCUGACUCAUACUGACCCUAUAGGACAAGGUAGAACUUCCCCGAAGGGCUUCCAAGGCUGUAAUCUUUACGGAAGCGUACUGCCACACCUUUUCUCCCGCAGAGCUGCUGGUGGGUUCAAACUGCCAACCUUUCGGUUAGCAGUCAAGCACUUAACCACUGAGCCACUGGGGCACCUUAAGGAUAUAUACAUAGGCAACAGAUACUGGUUUACUUGAUGUAGUGGGUAUCAGCGUCUGCAAAUAAAUCACUGACUUCCUAAGAUACCUUAACAGGAAAGCCACUGAAAUAGGGGCAGUAUGAUGUUUAACUGGUAUAGUUGCUUAAGAUCUAGUUAACAACACAUAUCAGCUUCACUGUGUAGGUAGGUAAACUUUAAAUAACUAAUUUUUUAUACCUUGGUUUUUUUUUUCUUAAAGUAGAUGCUUGUCCUGCACAUUGUUGUAGUUGUUAGGUGCCGUUGAGUUGGUUCUGACUCAUAACGACCCUGUGUACAAUAGAAUGAAACACUGCCUGGUCCUGUGCCAUCCUCACAAUCAUGGUUAUACUUAAGCCCAUUGUUGUAGCCACUGUGUCAUUCCAUCUCAUUGAGGGCCUCCGCCCCCCCCCCUUUUUUUUUGCUGACUCUCUACCAAGCAUAAUGUCCUUCUCCAGAGACAGAUCCCUCCUGACGACAUGUCAAAGUAUGCAAGACAUACUUUGUUCUACAUGCCAGUACCCAUUGCUGCUGAGUUGGUUCUGACUCAUAGCAACCCUAUAGGACAGAGUAGAACUGCCCCAUAUGGUUUCCAGGGAGCACCUGGUAGAUUCGAACUGUAGACCUUCUUUUUAGCAGCUGUAACGUUUAACCAUUAUGCCACCAGGGUUUCCUUGUACUACAUAGAAAAAUCAAAAUCAGCCUCUUUGUCUCUCUCAAUGCUAAAGGAAUCAAAUGCUUACAACACAUUCUUUAGCCACUGACCUACCAAAAAUUGUGAGAUCAUCAAAGGCUGGGGCUAAGUCUCAUUUGUGUCUCCAGAGCCAAACAUGGGUGGGUGCAUAUUAAUUGUUCGUUCUUGAAUUAAAGUUUCUAAAAAAAAAAAAUUUUUUUUUUUAAGUUUGUAUGUGAUAAGCCAAACCCAUUGCUUUGGAGUCAAUUCAUAGUGACCCUGUAGGACAGAGUAAAACUGCUCCAUAGGGUUUCCAAGGCUGUAAAUCUUUACUGAAUGUGACCCCAAUACCCUGCAGCAUGUUUUCUCCUUUUUCAAAAUGGACAACUGAGAGUUUAACAUAACUAAGGCAACUAAGACAAUGAUAAACCUGUAAGUUGUUCUUUCUCUGCAUGCCUCCUUCACAUACCUCUGUUAAUGACUUUGUUUUGACCAAAUGUUAAUGACUUUGUUCUUUGUUUUAAAACUGAUGCACAUAACCUUUUGUUCUGUCCGGACUACCUGUGGCAUACACCCCCCAUGGGAAAGUUGGAGCCCUGGUAUCAGAUAUGCAUAUCUUUAGCCUAAUAAAGAAAUGUGUGGCAGGGGACUACAGAGACACUUGUAACCCUUGUAAGAUUCUAUAUAAGCUCUAUGUAAAAUUGCUUUUUGGGACUCCAUGGAGACAGCCUGUGUUGCUGCUGGGUCCCAGGUGAUGUAUGCAUCUCCUUAAUAAACUUUCACUCUUUCUGACUUGGAGUAUGUUUCAUUGGCUCGACUGCACCGGGGCACGGACCCUAGUCAGGUAACACUGAAGCAGACUUUCUCCCAUAGAGUGGCUGGUGGAUUUGAACCACCUACCUUUUGAUUAGCAGCCGAGUACUUAACCACUGCGCCACCAGAGCUCCUUGUACGUGAUUAAGAAAAAACCAAACCCAUUGUCGUCGUGUUGAUUCCAACUCAUAAUGACCCUAUACGACAGAGUAGAACUGCCCCCAUAGGGUUUCCAAGGAGGCCUGAUGGAUUUGAACUGCUGACCUUUUGGUUAGCAGCCGUAGUUCUUAACCACUAUGCCACCAGAGUUUCCUUGUAUGUAACAGUGACUCCCAAAGAAGAGAACUCUCACUGGCUCUUGCCAGUAUGUAUUUCAAGAUCCCUACUUCCCCAUGCAGUGGGAGAGUUUUUAUGAAGGAGUGGUAUUUAGAUGAUCCAAUUUUUUUUUUUUUUUUUUAUGGUAGUGGCUGUUUUUUUAUGUUUUUUUUUUAAAGAGCCCUAAUCAAAAAUAUUGUACAGUAACCAACUAUCCCCAGAAUAGUCCUUUUUUUUUUUUUAACAUAACAUUAAGAAUGCUGUUUCUAUAGGAAAAAAUACAUUCUCAACGUAGUGCAUGUUCGAAAAAUAGAGAUCUAGUUGAUAAAAACUGUCCAAAUUCUCAACUGAUUCAUCAAAACAUACUAAAGAGUGUGUGAUGCUAACACAGAAAAAAACGGGUGAACCUAACCUUACUCUGUUCUUUUGAACAUAUGAAUAAAUGGCAGUUUAUUAUGUGCUGGAAAUCCUGGUGGUAUAGUGGUGAAGAGCUACAACUGCUAACCAAAAGUUCGGCAGUUUGAAUCUACUCCUUGGAAACCGUAUGGGGCAGUUCUACUCUGUCCUAUAGGGUCAACAUGAGUUGAAAUUGACUCGACAGCAAUGGGUUUUUUUUUUUUUUUUUUUUUUAAUGUGCUAGAGAUUUGGCUUGUUGCAAUGGUGUGAUGGUAUAUGUUUACUAUCAGGCUCUCUGGGAAAAAAAUCACAGUCUAAUAAGACUGGAUCCUUUAAGAAUUUGAAGUUCUGUUGCACAUUUUUUCCCUUUUUAUCAGGAUUUCUCUGUUACGUUCCUAAUCAGAAUGUUCAAUAGUGGUAGCCAGGCACCAUCUAUAUUCUUCUGGCCUCAAGUUAGAGGAGGCAGUGGUUCAUGCAGACAGUCCAGUUCCUUCUCUGAUUCUUGGGUUUCCUUCUUUCUCAUUUGUUCGGGAUGUAUAAAGAUGAAUAAUUGUAUCUUAGAUGGCCACUUGUAAGCUAUUAAGACCCCAGAUACUACUCACCAUACUGGGAGGUAGGGCAUAAAUAAGAACUGUAUUAUGCCAGUUGACUGGAUUGUUCAACAAGACCACGGCCCAUGAGGUGAUUGGUUAUGUCUAAUUAGAAUCAGCAUCUCUAGGCACCCCCCUUUGGUUGUUGUUAUUGUUGGAAAACCAUCCACAACCUAGCAUUUGCCCGUUCAUCCUUUUUCCCUGUGUACAGUGUGUUGACAUUAGUUACAUCAGUCACGCUGUGUAAACUUCAGCCAUAUUCAGUGCCACCUUUCUGGUUUCUGUAAACAAAGUGACUGUUACCUAAGGAGUGUUUUUCCCUCUUCCUCCCCCCUUCCAAUUCCUAGUAACUACUAGUGAACAUUAGUUUCUGUAUGUUUACCUAUUCAUGUCAUUUCAUAAAAGUGAGAACAUGCAAUAUUUGUUUCGUGUGUGUGUGUUUGACUUAUUUCACUCAACAUAAUGUCCUCCAGGUUCAUUCACUUUGUCAGAUGUUUUGGGAAUGCUGUUUUUUUUUUUUCUUAAUUGCCGAGUAGUCUUCCAUUGUAUGUAUGUACCACAUUUUACUUAACCCUUGAUCUGUUGAUGGGCACUUAGAUUGUUUCCAUCUUUUUGCUAUCGUGAAUAGUGCUGCAAUGAACUUACCAAACCAAAAAAGCCAAACCCUCGGCCAUAGAGUGGGUUCUGACUCAUAGUGACCCCACAGGGUUUCCAAGAUUGUAAAUCACCACAGAAGCAGACUACCACAUCUUUCUCUCUCAGAGCUGCGGGUGGUUUCGAACUGCUGACCUUUUGGUUAGCAUUCAGUUGCUUUAACCACUGUGCCAGAAGGGUUCCUUGCAGUGAACAUAGGUGUGCAUAUGUCUGUUUGUGUCACUUGUACCAUUAGAUCCCUAGGGUAUAUACCUAGGAAUGGAAUUGCAGUGUUGUAUGGCAGCUUUACCUCUAGUUUUUUUAGGAACCACCGGACUGUUUUCCACAAUGACUGUACCAUUUUGAAUUCCAACCAGUAAUGAAUGAAGGUUCCAAUUUCUCUACAUCCCCUCCAACAUUUUUCUUUUCUUUUUUUUUUUUUUAUCUUAGCCGUCCUAGUGGGAGUGAGAUGGUAUCUCAUUGUGCUUUUGAUUUGCAUUUCCCUGAUGGCUAAUAACAUUGAGCAUCUUUUCAUGUGUCUGUUGGCCAUUUGAAUAUCCUCUUUGGUGAAGUGUCUGUUCAUGUCCUUUGCCCAGUUUUGUUUUUUUAAAUGUUCUUUUUUUCUAAUUGUUCUAAAAACAUACAUAACAAAACAUUUGCCAAUGCAACAGUUUUUACACGUAUUCUUCAGUGACACUGAUUACAUUUCUCAUGUUGUACAACUAUUAUCACUAUCCUUUCCUGAAUUAUUCUACCACCAUUAACAGAAACUGGAUGUUCCUUACCUAGUAACUCAUCCUUUUACCCUCCCUCCUACCUCUGGUAACACUAGUAAGCUUUGGUUUUUGUUUGCCUAUUUCAUAUAAGUGAGAUCAUACGAUAUUUGUCCUUUUGCAGCUGACUUCACUCAGCAUAGUAUUUUCAAGGUUAUCCAUGUUGUGGCAUGGAUCAGGACUUUACUGCUCUUUAUGGCUGAGUAAUAUUCCAUUGUAUGUAUAUACCACAUUUUGCUUAUCCAUUUACCUGUUGAUGGAUAUUUCAGUUUUUUCCACCUUUUGGCUGCUUGAAUAGUGCUUCACUGGACAUUGGUGAACAGGUUUCUAUUUGCAUUCCUACUUUCAAUUCUUCUGGGUAUAUACCUGGGAUUGGGGGUUGCUGGGUCAUCUGGUAGUUCUAUGUUUAACUUUUUGAGGAACUGCCAAAUUGUUUUCCACAGUGACUGUACCAUUUUGCAUUCCCAUCAGUAAUGGAUGAGGAUUCCAGUUUGAAACUAUCCCAUAUUGUCAGAUGUUUCACAGAUUACUCGUUGUUCUUUAUCAUUGUGUAGUAUUUCAUUAUGUGUAUGUACCAUAAUUUGUUUAUCCAUUCAUUUGUUGGUGGGCAUUUAGGUUGUUUUCAUCUUUUUGCUGUUGUGAAUAGUGCUGCAGUGAACGUGGGUGUACACACGCCUGUUGGUGUGACGGCUCUUACUUCUCUAGGAUACAAUCCUAGAAGUGAGUUUGCUGGAUCAUAUGGUAUUUCUAUUUCUAGCUUUUAAAGGAGGUGCCGUAUUGAUUUUCAUAGUGGUUGUACUGUAUUACAUUCCUACCAGCACUGUGUAAGAGAUCCAGUCUCCCUGCAACCUCUCGAACAUUUAUUAUUUUCUUUUUUUUAUUAGUGCCAGUAUUGUUGGGGUGAGAUGGCAUCUCGUAGUUUCAAUUUGCAUUUCCCUAAUGGCUAAUGAUUGUGAGCAUUUCUUCAUGUGUCUACAAGCUGCCCGAAUGUCUGUGUUCUUUGGUGAAGUGCCUGUUCAUAUCCUUUGUCCAUUUUUUAAUUGGAUUAUUUGUCUUUUUGUUGUUAAGUUGUAGAAGUUUUCUUUUAUUUUAGAUAUUAAAUCCUUAUUGGUUAUAUCAUUUCUAAAGAUUUUUUUUCCCAGACUGUACGCUGUCUCUUUACUUAUUUGAUAAAACCCUUUGAUGAAUAUAAGUAUUUAAUGAGGUCCCAGUUAUCUGUUUUGUUUUCUGUUGCUUGUGCAUUUGGUAUUGUGUUUGGUAAUCUAUCAUUGUAAAAAAUUAGGUCUCAAGCUUUGCUUCUGUAUUUUCCAAGAGCAGUUCAUUCCUUUUGAUGGUGCUAUAAUAUUCCAUUAUGUGGGUAUAUGACAUUUUAUUUAUCCAUUCAGUAGUUGAUGGACAUUUGUGUUGUUUGGUCUUUUUGGCUAUUAUUAUGAACAAUGCUGCUGUGAACAUUUGGGUGCAAGUUUUUGUGUGUAUGUUUUCAUUUCUCUUGGUUAUAUACCUAGGAGUGGAAUUGCUGCGUCAUGUGGUAACUUUUUUUUUAUGGUAACUGUAUGCUCAACUUUUUGAGGAACUGCCAGACUCUCUGUGUGUGUGUGUGUAUGUGUUUAUCUUGUGCUUUUGGUGUUACUUCUAAGAAGGCUUUGCCUAACCCAGAAUCAUGAAGAUUUACACUGAUGUUUUCUUCUAAGAAUUUUGUAAUUUUAGCUUUUUUUUGAGUUCACUUUUGUGUAUGGUAUGAAAUAGUCCAACUUCAUUCUUUUGCAUGUGGAUAUUCAGUUGUCCUUUGCAUGUGAAUAUCCAGUUGUCUCAUCACCAUUCGUUGAAAAGAUUUCUUUCUCCAUUUAAUGGUCUGGGUACCUUUGUCUAAAAUCAAUUGACUAUAAAUGUAAGGGUUUAUUUCUAGACUCUCAAUUCUGUUCCAUUCAUUAAAGUUAAAUACUUAUUACUGUAACUUUGUAAUAAGUUGUGAAAUAGGAAAACAUGAGUCUUCCAAAUUUGUUCUUUUUAAGAAAGUUUUGGCUAUUCUGGGUUCCUUGCAUUUCCGUAUGAAUUUUAGGAUCAGAUUGUCAAUUUUUGCAAUGAAGCCAGAUGGGAUUUUGAAAGAAUUGUGUUCAAUCUGUAUAUCAAUUUAAGGCCUAUUGCCAUCUUAACAAUUGUGAGUCUUUUGAUCUAUGAAUAUAGGGUGUUUUUAAUUUACUUAGGUCUCCUUUCACUUCUUUCAACAAUAUUUUGUCAUUUUCAGAGUAUAAAUUUUAUACUUCUUGUUAAAUUAAUUCCUAAGUAUUGUUUUUUCUGACAUUUGUAAUUGGAAUUGUUUUCUUGAUUUCACUUUUGGAUUGUUCAUUUUUUUUUAGUGCAUACAAUUGCAUUUUGUAUUUUGAUCUUGUGCCCUGCAACCUGCCUGAACUUUAUUAUUUCUGAUAGUUUUUUAGUGUAUUCGUUAAGAUUUUCUAUAUAUAAGAUUAUGUCAUCUGCAAAAAGAGAUAGUUUUACUUCUUAUUUUCCAAUCUAGAUGUAUUUUAUUUCAUUAUUUCUACUAAUUGUUCCAUCUAGAACCUCUUAAACAUUUGUGAAUAGAAGUGGCAAGCGCAGGCAUCCUUGUUUGCUCCUGAUCUUAAGAGAUGUUCAGUUUUUCACCAUUAAGUAUGAUGCGUGCAAUGAGUUUUUUGUAUUAUGCCCGUUAUUAGAUUGAGAAAUUUCUCCUCUGCUAAUAGUUUGUUGAGUAUUUUAAUUAUGACAGGGUGUGUAGGACAUUGACUGAUUUUCGGAUAUUGAACCAACCUUGCAUUCCUGGGAUAAAUCCCACUUUAUUAUGGUAUAUAAUCUGCUUUAUAUUUUAAGUAGUUUUAUUGAGACAUAAUUUGCAUACUAUAUGUUCUCCCAGUUAGAGUAUACAGUUCAGCGAGUUUUUGUAGAUUUAUUAAGUUGUGCAGCCAUCACCAUCAUCCAGAUUUAAACACUUUUAUCACCACUACCAUCUCAAUUCCCUAAACAACAUAUUGUUUAGUUUUGCUUAUUUUGGGUCUUUUUACAAAUGGUAAAGAUUAAAUGUACUUUAAAAUACUUUGAGCUCCUUAUGAAAGGGUGUAAAUAGAGAAUGCAGUAAUUUAAUAAACUCUGGCUCCUUUUUCUAAUUAACAAAUGCAAUAACUAAGGUGAGUUUGUUUUAUUCUUUGUCAACAUUUUAAUGAAUCUUUGAUGAAUAAGCAUUUUUACAGAGUUUAUAAACUUUAAAGUGUGGUUGUCCCAUUUGUUCAAGUUGUUCAAACAAGAGGAAAAACUGAACAAGAUCAAAUAUAAAAAUGCUUUUUGAGACAUACCUUUUAAAUUUCUCACUAGCAAACUUCUUAUGGUGCCUGUGGUGGCUUCAGAGAUAAUUGCAUAGGUUUCAUCUCUUCAUUUACUUUACCAAUUAAAAAUAAUUUUUUGUAUUAUAGUAAACAAAUUGUAUUUCUCUUUACUUAAGCCAUAAAUUGGCUUUUUUUUAAUCUGAGUUUUUGGAAGUUUCAUUGUAGAUUGAAUAACCCCUGAAUUUCAAUACUCAGCACAUGCCAUCAUUUAAAAGCUGUAUCCUCAUUAGUCAAACACAAAAGGACAAGUAUUGUAUGUUCUCACUUGUAUGAAAUAUCUAGAAAAGACAAAUGCAUAGAAACAGGAGUUUAUUGGUGGUUGCCAGAGGCUAAAGGAAGAUGGAAAUGGGGAGUUAGUUGCCUGGGGGAUGCUGGGUUUCUGUUUGGGGUGAUGAAAGACCCCUGGAAUUAAUCUGAAAACAGAUGAUUGUACAGCAUGGUGAAUGUAGUUGGUAACACUGGAUUGCACAUUUAAAAAUGGCAAAGGUGGCAAAAGUUUUCUUGUAUUUGUUUUACCAUAAUAAAUUAGAAAAAAAUUUUUUUUAAUUCUGUUGUAGAGUAAGUAGGCUUGUAAAUUUCUUGAAUCCUUUCCAGAAUGUAGCAAAGUGUAAAUGAAUAAAAAUAAACAAACAAUAGUACUGCCUUAAAAAUAAGUUAAAAAGCUUCAUCCUUGGUAAAUUCUGUUAAACAUGCUCUAUAAGAGAUGGUGGUAGGAACAGUUAAGUUUUAAAUAGAGUUUCCUAAUGAUUCAAGUUGUUGAGAAUUGGAAGCACUAGUUUUUCUAGUUUCAGUGUUUUGUUGUUGUUGUUGUUAGGUGCCAUCAAGUCGGUUCUGACUCAGAGUGACCCUGUGUACAACAGAAUGAAACACUGCCGAGUCCUGCGCCAUCCUCACAAUCAUCAUUGUGCUUGAGCUCAUUAUUUGCAGCCACUGUGCCAAUCUAUAUAAUUUAAAGUCUUCCUCUUUUUUGCUGACACUCUACCUUACUAAGCAUGAUGUCCUCCAGGGACGGGUCCCUCCCGAUAACACAUCCAAAGUACAUGAGAUGAAGUCUCACCAUUCCCAUUUCUAAGGAGCAUUCUGGCUUUAUGCCUUAGUCAUCUAGUGCUUCACUAACAGAAAUACCACAAGUGGAUGGCUUUAACAAAACCACCAAAACAAAACCAAACCCAUUGCCGUCGAGUCCAAUUUAUUUUCUCACAGCCUAUUAGGCUAGAAGUCCAAAUUCAGGGUGUCCCCUCCAGGGGAAGGCUAUCUCUCUCUGUCGGCUCUGGAGGAAGGACCUUGUCAUCAAUCUUACCGUGUAGUGGGAGCUUCUCCAUGCAGGAACCCCAGGCCUGAAGGACGCAUUCUGCUCCCAGUAGGGUUUUCUUGGUGGUAUGAGGUUCCCAGCUCUCUUCUUGCUUCCCUUUCCUUUUAUCUCUUGUAAGAUAUAAGGUAAUGCAGGCCACACCCCAGGGAAACUUCCUUUACAUUGGAUCAGGGAUGUGACCUGAGCAAGGGUGUUACAGUCCAUCGACCAUAAUCCUCUUUAACUGCAGGCAGAGAAAAUCACAAAAUGGGGGGCAACCAUAGAAUACUGUCAUGGCCUAACCAAAUUGGCAUAUAUUUUGGGGGGACAUAGUUCAAUCCAUGACACUGUACUUGUUCUAAGACAGAUUUGUUUAUUCUUCUGGCAGGCUGUGGUGUAUUCAGUAUUCUUCACCAGCAGCGUAAUUCGAAGGCAUCAAUUCGUUUUCAGUCUUUCUUAUUCAUUGUACAGCUUUUGGAUGCAUAUGAGGUGAUUGAAAAUACCAUGGCUUGGGUCAGGCACAGCUGAGCCCUCAAAGUGACAUCUUUACUUUUCAAUACUUUAAAGAGGUCUUUUGUAGCAGAUUUGCCCAAUGCAAUAUGCUGCGUCAUUUGAUUUCAUGACCGCUGCUUCCAUGGGUGUUGAUUGUGGGUCUAAGUAAAAUGAAAUCCUUCACAACUUCGAUCUUUUCUCCAGUUAUCAUGAUGUUGCUUAUUGGUCCCUUUGUGAGGGUUUCUGUUUUUUUAUGCUGAGGUGUAAUCCAUAAUGAAGGCUGUAUAGUCUUUGAUCUUCAUCAGUAAGUGCUUCAAAUCUUUUUUACUUUCAGCAAGCAAGGUUGUGUCAUCUGCAUAUCACAGAUUGUUAGAGUGUUCCUCCGAUCCCAGUGCCUCCUGAUGCCCCAUUCUGGUUCAUAUAGUCCAGCUCUCAGAUUAUAUGCUCAGCAUACAGAUUGAGUAAGUAAGAUGAAAGGAUAUAACCCUGACUUUAAACCACACAGUAUGCUCUUAUUGUGUUUGAAUGACUGUCGCUUGAUCUAUUUACAGGUUCCUUAUGAGCACAAUUAAGUAGUCUCGAAUUCCCAUUCUUUGCAAUGUUACCCAUAAUUUGUCAUGAUCUACUUUUUUUUUUUACACAGUUGAAUUCCUUUGCAUAGUCAAUAAAACACAGAUAAACCUGUUUCUGGUAUUCUCUGCUUUAAACCAGGAUCCAUCUGACAUCAGCAAUGAUAUCACUGUGGUUCCACAUCCUCCUCUGAAUCUGGCUUGAAUUUCUGGCAGUUGCCUGUUGAUGUACUGCCGCAGCCACUUUUGAAUGACCUUCAGCAAAAUUUUACUUGCAUGUAAUAUUAAUGAUAUUGUUCCAUAAUUUCUGGAUUUGGUUGAAUCGCUUUUUUUGGAAUAGGCAUAAAUAUGGAUAUCUUCCAGUUGGUUGGCCAGGUAGCUGUCUUCCAAAUUUCUUGGCAUAGACCAGUGAGCACUUCUAGCACUACAUCCAUUCUUUGGAACAUCUCAGUUGGUAUUCCGUCAAUUCCUGGAGCCUUGUUUUUCGUCUGUGCUUUCAGUGCAGCUUGGAUGUCUUCUUUCAGUACCGUGGGUUCCUAAUCAUAUGCUACCUCCUGAAAUGGUUGAAUGGUGAUCAGUUCUUUUUGGUAUAGUGACUCUAUGUAUUCCUUCCAUCUUCUUUUGAUGCUUCCUUUGUCUAAUGUUUUCCCUGUAGAAUCCUUCAGUAUUGCAACUCGAGGCUUGAAUUUUUUCUUCAGUUCUUUCAGCUUGAGAAAUGCCAAGCAUGUUCUUCCCUUUCGGUUUUCUAACUCCAGGUCUUUGCACAGAUCAUUAUGGUAGUUUACUUUGUCUUCUUGAGCUGCCCUUUGAAAUCUUCUCUUCAUGUCUUUUGCUUCAUCAUUUCUUCCAUUUGCUUUAGCUAUUUGACAUGCGGGAGCAAGUUUCAGAGUCUUCUGACAUUCACUUUGGUCUUUCUUUUCCGUCUUUUUAAUGACCUCUCGCUUUCUUCAUAUAUGGUGUCCAUGAUGUCAUACCACAACUCAUCUGGUAUUCAAUCAUUAGUGUUCAAAACAUCAGAUCUAUACUUGAGAUGGUAUCUAAAUUCAGGUGGGAUAUACUCAAAGUUGUACUCUUGUAGAGUUGUUUUAAUUUUCUUCAGCUUCAGCUUAACUUGCAUACAAGCAAUUGAUGGUCUGUCCCACAUUCGGCCCCUGGCCUUGUUCUGACUGAUGAUAUUGAACUUCUCCAUUGUCUCUUUCUACAGAUAUAAUCUAUUUGAUUCCUGUGUGUUCCAUUCGGCAAGGUCCACAUGUAUAGUCGCUGUUUAUGUUACUGAAAAAAGGAUAUUUGCAAUGAAGAAGUUGUUGAUCUUGCAAAAUUUUGUCAUAUGAUCUCCAGCAUCAUUUCUGUCACCAAGGCUGUAUUUUCCAACUAAAGAUCCUUCUUUCUUUCCAACUUUCACAUUCCAAUCACCAGUAAUUAUCAGUGCAUCCUGAUUGUAUGUUCGAUUGAUUUUAGGUGGUAUAAGUUGGUAAAAAUCUUCAUUUUCUUCGUCUUUCUCCUUAGUGGUUGGUGCUUAAAUUUGAAUAAUAGUCAUAUUAACUGGUCUUUGUUGUAGGCGUGUGGAUAUUAUCCUAUCACUGACAGUGUUGUACUUCAGGAUAGAUCCUGAAAUGUCCUUUUUGAUGAUGAAAGCAAUGCCAUGCCUCUUCAACUUGUCACUCCUGGCAUAGCAGAUCAUAUGAUUGUCUGAUUCAGAAUGGCCAGUACCAGCCCAUUUCAGUUUACUCAUUCCUAGAAUAGUGAUGUUUAUGUGUUCCAUUUCAUUUUUGAUGAUUUCCAAUUUUCCUAGAUUCAUACUUCAUACAUUCCACAUUCUGAUUUUUAAUGGAUGUUUGCAGCAGUUUCUCCUCAUUUUGAGUCCUGCCACAUCAGCAGAUGAAGGCCCUGAAAACUUGACUCCAUCCACGUCAUUUAGAUCGACUCUACUUUGAGGAGGCAGCUCUUUUUCAGUUGUAUUUUGAGUGCCUUCCAACCUGAGCAGACAGUGUUCUGCUGCUUUUCAUAAGGCUUUCACUGGCUAAUUCUUCUCACAGGUAGACUGCCAGAUCCUUCUCCUAGUUGUCUUAGUCUGGAGGCUCAGCCGAAGCCUGUUUGCCGUGGGUAACCUGCUGGUAUCUGAAUACCGGUGGCAUAGUUUCCAGCAUCACAGCAACAUGCAAGCCCCCGCAGUAUGACAAACUAACAGACACGUGGGUUUCCUUAGAAGCUUUAUUUUGUGGUUAUAGAGGUAGAAGAGACAUAAAGAAUCAUUUUGUCCAGAACCUUGUUUUCAAGCAGAUUAAUGCUCUGGUAAUUGAUGAUUCCUACCUUCAGUUUUGCUAUACAAUGGAUGUACUGGUCUUCUCAAUUUAUUAUAAAAUAAAUUUUUUAGAAUUAUAAAUUUAGUGGGGAAGGUUUGGGAAGUGAUGCUCUUGAAACUGCAUAAAAAAAAUAAGGUACUUAAACUACCAAAAAACAAAUGAAAUACAAUAAAACAAAAAAAGGAAGAAAAGAAACUGUAGAUGGGGCGGGUUGUUGACGUUUUUCUUAAAAUUCCUGCAAUGGUGACUUCAUAAUCUUCAUUUGGUGGCUUAAUUCUGAAGUUUUAUUGCCCUUAUCAUCAAAGGACUCUGUGUCUGGUAAUAACUUUCUGCCCAUUUCCUUUUGUUUGGUUCUCUCAAUGAAUGAGCUUCCUGUAACUCUUAGAAAGUCUUUGAGGAUGACUGAAGAUUCUUAAAGUGAAUUUAUGGAUUUAACAAAAAAUAAAAAGCUGGAAUGGUACAGUAUUUUAGAUAAACUAUUUUAAAAUUUGUUAAAAUGCACUGUGGUAUCUUUGGAUAAUUAGCAAAAGCUCGAUAUGGAAGCCAUGUGUUUUGUAGUGUAACUAACAUAAUAAACCAUAAGAUAAAUACAAUUAGGAAAAAUUGUUAAAUUAAGACAGGUUGACAACUGUUUUAUUUAAGACCGUAAUCAAGUCACCCCUUAUCUUUUUUUCUGUUUGUUACAUUGUCAGUUUGGUAACACAACUGGAACAAUUUACCACCCAGUAAACACCAUAAAAAAACCACAUCAUAGCUUUUAUGAAUAGGGGGUUAGCAGAAAGUAAUUGUGACGAGAUGAGAAACCCUGAAAAGUGACUUUGGAAGUGAAGAAAUAAUUAAGCUGAAUGAAAUGGAAAAGAGUAUUGAUUUACCUGUUGAAAAACUGCAAGCCUUGAGAAAACUUAAGCCUGCUAUAGGGCAGUGUUUUGAACAGUAAAUCAUAACAUUGAACAUCUGCAUGUGAACAUCUGAGAAUGACAACAUCAGCAAAUUACCUGCUGUAACGUUGUAUGUAGUACGUAUUACUAAGGGUAAGAUGUAGGGGAAAAAAAAAAAGCCAGAUGGCCAUAAAUGCGGUUCAUUGUAACUCGAAUACAACGUAAGUUAGGGUCUACCUGUAUGAUAUUAAGCAGUGAAGACAGACAUUAAACAGAUUAUUUUGAGUACACAGUCCCUUAAGAUAGUCUAUCUAGAUAGUCUAUCUCUUCUAUAAAAUAAAGAUUAUAGUAAUAAGGCUCUCAGGUUCUUGUGAGAAUUAAAUGAGAUUAUUGUUGUUGCUAGGUGCUGUCAAGUCACUUCUGACUCAUAGUGACCCUGUGUACAGCAACAAAAAAAAAACACCGCCCAGCCCUGCUUCAUCCUCACAAUCAUUCUUAGGCUUGGGCCCAUUGCAGCUGCUGUGUCAAUCCAUCUUGCCAAGGCUCUUACUCUUUUUCACUGACCAUCAACUUUGCCAAGCAUGAUGUCCUUCAUCAGGGACCAGUCCCUCCAGAUAACAAGUCCAAAACACGCGAGCCUAAGUCUCGCCGUCCUUGCUUCUAAGAAGCAUUCUUGCUGUACUUAUUUCAAGACAGAUUUGUUUGUUCUUUUGGCAGUCCAAGGUAUAGUCAGUAUUCUUUGCCAAGACCAUAAUUCAAAUACCUCAGUUCUUCUUUGGUCUUCCUCAUUCAUUGUCCAGCUUUCCCACGGAUGUGAAGUGAUUGAGAAUACCAUGGCUUGGGUCAGGCACAUUUAGUCCUCAAAGUGACAUAUUUGCUUUUUAACACCUUAAAGAGAUGUUUUGCAGCAAAUUUGCCCAGUGCAAUACACUACGUCAUUUGGUUUCUUGCCUGUUGCUUCCAUGGCCGUUGAUUGUGGAUCCAAGUAAAAUGAAAUCCUGGACAACCUCAACUUUUUUUCCACUUAUCAUGAUUGGUCCAGUUGAGAAGAUUUUGUUUUCUGUAUAUUGAGGUAUAAUCCAUACUGAAGGCUGUAGGCUUUGAUCUUCAUCAGUAAGUGCUUCAAGUCCUUUUCACUUUCAGCGAGCAAGAUUGUAUCAUCUGCAUAUCGCAGGUUUUUAAUGAGUCGUUUUCCAAUCCUGAUGCUGCAUUCUUCUUUAUAUAGUCCAGUUUCUCGGAUUAUUUGCUCAGCAUACAGAUUGAAUAAGUAUGGUGAAAGGAUACUACCCUGACACACACCUUUCCUGACUUUAAACCACGCAAUAUCCCCUUGUUCUGAUUGAACGACUGCCUCUUGGUCUAUGUACAGGUUCAGCAUGAGCACAAUUAAGUGUUCUGGAAGUCCUAUUCUUCUCAGUGUUAUCCAUAAUUUGUUAUGAUCUACACAGUUGAAUGCCUUUGCAUAGUCAAUAAAACACAGGUACACAUCUUUCUGGUAUUUUCUGCUUUCAUCCAAAAUGCAUCUGACAUUAGCAAUGAUAUCCCUCAUUCCAUGUCCUCCUUUGAAUCCUGCUUGAAUUUCUGGCAGUUCCCUGUCGAUGUACUGCUAUAACUGCUUUUGGAUCACCUUCAGCAAAAUUUUACUUGUGUAUAAUAUAUAUAUAUAUUUUAAUAAUAUUAAUGAUAUUGUUCCAUAAUUCCCACCUUCUGUUGGGUCACCUUUCUUUGGAAUGGGCACAGAUAUGGAUCUCUUCCUGUCAGUUGGCCAGGUAGCCAUCUUCCAAAUUUCUUGGCAUAGAUGAAUGAACACUUCCAACACUGCAUCCGUUUGUUGGAACAUCUCACUUGGUAUCCGUCAAUUCCUGGAGCCUUGUUUUUCUCCAAGGCCUUCAGUGAGCUUGGACUUGUUCCUUCAGUGCCAUCUUUUCUUUAUCAUAUACUACCUUCUGAAAUGGCUGAAUGUUGACCAAUUCUUUUUGGUACAGGGAUUCUGUGUAUGCCUUCUGUCUUCUUUUGAUUCUUCCUGCUUCGUUUGAUAUUUUGUUUAUAGAAUCCUUUAAUAUUGCAACUCGAGGCUUGAAUUUUUCCUUCAGUUCUUUCAGCUUGAGAAAUGCCAAGCAUGUUCUUCAUUUUUGGUUUUCUAACUCCAGGUCUUUGCACAUUUCAUUAUAAUACUUUAUUGUCUUCCUGAGCCGCCCUUUGAGAUCUUCUCUUCCGUUCUUUUAUGUCAUCAUUUCUUCCAUUCAUUUUAGCUGCUCUGUGUUCAAGGGCAAGUUUCAAAGGCUCUCCUGACAUCCGUUUUGGUCUUUUCUUUCUUUCUAGUCUUUUUAAGGACCUCUUGCUUUCUUCUUAUAUGGUGUCCUUGAUGUCAUUCCACAACUUGUCUGGUCUUUGGUCAUUAGUGUUCAAUACGUUAAAUCUGUUCUUGAAAUGGUCUCUAAAUUCAGGCCAGAUAUACUCAAGGUCACACUUUGGCUCUCAUGGACUUGCUUUAAUUUUCUUCAGCUUCAGCUUGAACUUGGAUAUGAACAAUUGGUGGUCUGUCACACAGUCAGCCAUGUUCUGACUGAUACCGAGUUUAUCCGUCUGUGGAGGUCUGAGUGUAUCAUCGCUGUUUAUAUUGAAAAAAGGUGUUGACAAUGAAGAAGCCAUUGGUCUUUCAAAUUUCUAUCUUGAGAUCUCUUUCUAUUACCAAGACCGUAUUUUCCAACUAGUUACCCUUCUUGGAGUCCUGAUAGUGCAGUGAUUAAGAGAUUGGCUGCUAACCAAAAGGUUGGCAGUUUGAAUCCACCAGCCAACCCUUGGAAAUCCUACGGGGCAGUUCUACUUUGUCCUGUAGGGUCUCUAUGAGUCGAACUUGACUCGGCAGCAAUGCAGUUUUUUGGUUUGGAUCCUUCUUGUUUCCAGCUUUCCCAUUCCAAUCACCAGUAAUUGUCAGUGCAUCUUGAUUACAUGUUUGAUCAAUUUCAGACUGUAGAAGUUGGUAAAAAGCUUCAAUUUCUUCAUCUUUGGCCUUAGUGGUUGGUGCAUAAAUUUGGAUAAUAGUCGUAUUAGCUGAUCUUCCUAAUAGGCGUAUGGAUCCUAUCACUGACAGUGUUGUACUUCAGGAUAAAUCUCGAAUUGCUCUUUUUGACAAUGAAGGAGAUGCCAUUCCUCUUCAAUUUGUCAUUCCAUGCGUAGUGGACCAUUUUCAGCUCACUAAUGCAUAGGAUAUCAAUCUUUAUGCAUUCCAUUUCAUUUUUGACGACCUCUCAUUUUCCUAGAUUCAUACUUCGUACAUUCCAUGUUCUGAUUAUUUAUGGAUGUUUGCAGCUGUUUCUUCUUGUUUUAAGUCAGCAGCUAAAGGUCCUGAAAGCUUUAGGCUAUCUAUGUCUUAGCCAUUUAGCGCUGCUGUAACAGAAAUACCAUAAGCCAUGGCUUUAACAAAGAGAAACUUAUUCUCUUAAAGUCUAGGAAGCUAAAAGUCUGAAUUUAGGGUGCCAGUUCCAGGGGAAUGCUUACUGUCUCCAUCAGCUCUGGGGGAAGGUCCUUGUCAUCAAUCUUCCCCUGGUCUAGGAGCUUCUCAGCACAGGCACCCAAGUCCAAAGGAUGUGCUCUGCUCCUAGCACUGCUUUCUUUGUGCUAUGAGUCCUCCUGUCUCUCUGCUUGCUUCUCUUUUUUGUAUCAGAAGAGAUUGGCUUAAGACACAAUCUAAUCUUGUAGAUUUAGUUCUGCCUCAUUGACAUAACUGCCACUAAUCCCACUGUAUUAACAUUAUAGAGGUAAGAUUUACAACACAUAGGAAAAUCAUAUCAGAUGACAAAUGGUAGACAAUCAAACAGUACUGAAAAUCAUGGACUAGCCAAGGUGACAUACAUUUUUGGGGGACACAGUUUAAUCUAUGACAUAUGUUGUUAAGGUCGACUCUAUUUUCAGGAGGCAGCUCUGCCCCAGUCAUAUUUUGAGGGCCUUCCAACCUGCGGGGCUCAUCUUCUGGCACUGUAUCAGACAGUGUUCUGCUGCUGUUCAUAAGGUUUUUUACUGGCCGUUUCUUUCAGAAAUAGACAGCCAGGUCCUUCUUCCUAGUCUGUCUUCAUCUGGAAGCUCCACUGAAACCUGUCCACUAUGGGUGACCCUGCUGGUAUUUGAAAUACCAUUGGCAUAGCUUCCAGUAUAACAGCAAUAAGCAUGCCCCCACAGUACAACAAACUGACAGAUGAGAAUGCAUGUAAAAUGCUUUAGUACAGUGUCUUUCCCAUACUAACGCAGUGCCAUCGUAACACUCAACAAAUAUUAGCUAUUUUUAUUGCUACCUAUUAGCACUUAUCAUCUUUGUUUUAUGGAGUAAAACAGGGUGAUAACGGUACCUAGACUAAUUGUGAAACCAAGAAAGCUUCCUUGACACACCCCUACUUUGAAGAAGCUUGUACUUAAAUCUUUCUAAACAAGUUAAGUUAAAAUGUUCAUACAGAUAUGCACAGGAUGCUGACUGCGGGAAGGCACAGAUGGGGUACCCAGGGGCUCAGUGUUGUAUAAUUCUAGGGGACACUUUACACGGUAUUACGUUUCGAAUGAUACCUCUUGUAGUUAAUCAAGGCAUUUCUUGGGUGGCCUGAAACUUUCAUAGUAGGCCAAAUUAGGGGGAGUGAUACCUGAGUUAAAAUUUGAUGGUACAAGGGUCAGGGGAUGAGGGAGAAGGAAAUCUCAGGCAGAGGGAAUUUCGUGUACAAAGUUAUGGAGACAUGAGAGAUCAUGGUAUAUUUGGGGACCUGGAAUUAGUUCGUUAUGGCCAGAAUGUAGGAUGAGUGAUUGCUAAGGGGUGAAAUUAAGAGGUCAGAUUAUAAAGGAUCUGGCUUGCUGUAUUAAUAAUACCUAUAGAUUUUUUUUUAUAGGUUUAUCUGAAUCUAGGAAGCCAUCGAAUGUAUUAAACAGAUGAUUAAAAUGAUCAGAUUUAUAUUUAAAAGGGGGCUCAGGCAGUACUGAGGAGAAUUGUUUACAGUGGAAGCGGGCCUGGAAACUGGGAGAAGGCCGCUAAAUGUGGAGCACAAACUGUUAAUUACGGGUCGGCGGUGAUAACUGAGUGCCUUUCCUCUUAGCCCAUCACAUUCUCGAGGCUCAUCCCUAGACAUUUAGAAACUUUUAUGGCAAUUUGACAUGGUUCAUGGUCGUGCUGGGCCUUCAGUGUUGUCUCCCUUACCUCCAGUCAGUUUCUUUUCUCCACUGCCCACAAUAGCUAUUUCAAACCUCUGCCACUUUCAGGUGCCUUCUCCACCCCUUUCUCACUUUCUGCAGAUGCUCAUCCUUUCUUUCACAGAGAAAAUAAAGCCAAUGGACACAGGAACUGGAUGACUUCUUGUUUCACCCACAGACAAAUACAUGUGUCAACCUGUAUCUUUCCUCCACUUUUCUAUCUCUGGAUUCUGUUCUCUUCUCAUUUUCCCAGGGGCUUUGCCCCUGUUAUCUUCUUCUCUCAGUUUUUCAACCCCUGCCUCUCUAAAGAACCUUUCCCCUUAGCCUGUAAACUUGCCUAAGGCUCACCCUAAAUUCAGUCUUCAUCAUCUUCUACAAUGUCGUCCUAACUUCCCUAUUUCUCUUCACAGCCAAGCUCCUUGUGAAAGAGUAGUCUUCAGUCACUCUCUGUUCCUUAACCUCUUAUUUACCCUUGAGCCACUGUACACUCAUUUCUACAUACCAUAUAGCUUCAACUGCUCAGAUAAAUGACCAGUUACCUACUAUUAACUACAGCUGGGUACCAAAUCCAACCGGCACGUUUCAGUCUUUAUGACUUAUGUUGCAUGUAUCAAUAGUUCGUUCCUUUUUUAUUUUAGUUUUUAUGUUUAGGUUAGUUUUCCAUCUCAAAUUAGGUUUUGCAUAUGGAAUGAAAUAAGGGUUUGAGGUUUUUUUGGUGAUUGUUUUAAUACUGACAACAUAUUCUUACAGCACCUUUUGUUGAAAAUACUUAGCUUUUUUUACUGAACUGCCUUGCUCUGCUGUGGAAAAUCAGUUGACUGUGUAAAUAUAGUCUAAUUCCAGACUUUCUAUUCUGUUUCAUUGAUCUUUUGUCUAUUCAUAUGCUAAUGUCACACUGUCUUGAUUAUUGUAGCUUUAGAGCAGGGCUUCUCAACCUCAGCACUGUUGACAUUUUGAACCUGAUAAUACUUGGCUGUGGUGGGCAGUACUGCGUAUUGAAGUAUAUUAGCAGCAUCCUUGGCCUCUACCUGCUAGAUGCUAACAGCAUCCGCCGACUUGUGACAACCAAAAAUUUCUCCAGACAAUGCCAGAUGUCCCCUGGUGGGGCAAAAUCACCCUCAGUUGAGAACCACAGCUUUAAAGUAUUUCUUGAAAUUAGGUAAUGCAAGUUAUCCAACUUUCUUAUUCUCAUUCAGGAUUGUUUUGGGUGUUCUAGAACCUUUGCAUUUUCAUAUCAUUAUGGAGUUAGUUUGUUAGUUUCUACAAAAAAUCUGUUGGGAUUUUGAUCAGGAUGGUAUUAAUACUACAGAUCAAAUUGAAGAGAAUUGACAACAAAAUUGAAUCUUCCAAUCCAUGAACAUGAUGUAUCUCUUCACUUCUUUAUGUCUUUAAUUUUUUCCAGCAGUAUUUUUGAGUUUUAAGGUCUUACACAUAUUUUCUUAAAUUUACCCCUAAGUAUUUUAUAUUUUUUGAUAUUGUUGGAAAUGGUAUUUUUAAUUUCAUUUUCCAAUGUCAUUAACUAGUUGUAGGCCCUCUUGCCCUGCCCCCAACCCUAUAUUCAAUUAAGGCAGCAGCCCCUUUGCUCUAUCCUACAUGAAGGCACCAUGAGAAAGAACUGGCAGGAUAGGUGUAGACUUGUGCGGGUCCUGGAGACCCUUAGGUUUCUAAUCAACCAACCCAUGGUCAGCCUAUAAAAGUUUCCAUUGGUUUCUCCGUAAGCCCCGCAGUGGCUAGUUUGUUCCUUCUCCCACUGUGACUCUGUGGCAAUGGGCUCGGGCCCACUGUGCCUCAGGUAAGAAAGGGGCUUUGGGAGUUUUAUCUUUUAGCAAGGGCUUGUUCCCUUCUGGAAUUUAAUUCAUUUAUAUUUCUUUGAGUUCUCAGCUUUCUUGUUUACAACCAGCCAACAAACAAAAACUGAUUUUGUUGCUUAUCCAAACUUUUUACUUUGUUAGGAUGGGAGGGAGAAAUCUCUUGUUUUUUUCUAUAUCCCUACUGGCAAUAGUUAACUCACUACUGGUUUUCUGUUACAAUGUUUUUCUGUUUAACAGCUUUGCUAAGAACCAAAGCCAGUAAAGACCCUUUAUUCCCAUCAUAUUUCUCUGCAGGGUGCGUUUUCUCCUUUUUCAUGCACCAAGAAUGCAGCCAUUUGGGGAAUCCUGACAUAUAGGCAUUGUUAAUCCAAACUGCUCCCUGGUAGGGCCCCAGGUUUAGUUGGCUUCCUGUCAUUUCUACAGAUAGCCCAUCAAAAGCUAGACUCUUGUCCACCAAGGAGUGACUAGUAGCCCCAGGGAAAACUCUGCCUAUAGUUUACUCACCCUUGUGAAUUUGUUUUCUUGUUUCUGCCCUCUAGGAAUUCCUUUACUUCCCCCUCAAGGUUAACCACAUAUUUGGAAAGACAAAAAAACAAAAAAGCACUUUUUUUUCCUCAAUAUAUUUUCCAGUGUUUUUAGGUACAUUUUCCACCCUAAUUUUCUUUUGUCUUAUACUCAGUGUAUCUUUGGAAGUUACUUCUAGUUCGUUUGUAUGUGUGUGUGUGUGUUUUUUAAUGUGGCAAGAUAUAUAUUAUAAAGGAAAAAAUAAAGUCCACAUUCAGCCCUAAGUUGAAGCUAAGAAUGUCCUUCCUUGACUUCAGCUGUGGAAAUGCACCCUACUCUUCACUCAUUUCAGAUGUUGCUUCUUCUAGGUGUUCCCAGUUUACUCCCCUUCUGGCUCAACUCCCGUCCUCAUUUAUACCCCCAGGUAGAAUUACUCUUGUACAUUUGUUUCCUGCUGCUUUAUACAUAUCUUUCUUGGAGAUAUCCUGUAGACAUAAAGCUAGAGACUGAAUAUUUGUCUGUGUCACUAGCUGCCAGGUUGAUUCUGACGUAGGGCGACCCAAUGUGUGAGACAGUAGAAAGUCCGUGUGUGGUGCAAGUGGCUGAUGCACUUGCUGCUAACUGAAAGGUUGAAGAUUCAAGUUUACUCACAGUCACCUCAGAAGAAAGACCUGGCGAUCUACUGCCUAAAAGUCAGCCAUUAAAAACCCUGUGGAGUGUAGUUAUACUCUUAAACACAUGGGGUAGCCAUGAGUCAAAGUUGCCUCAAUGACAAUGGGUUGUUUCUUUGUUUGUUUUUUAGCAUAUGAUAGGCUUUACUAAAGUUUAUGCACCAUUCAGCUUCGUUUGUAUCACCAAGGAUGUAUUUUUGAAACUAUUGAUCUUCUUUGUUUCCAACUUCUGAAUUCCAAUCUCCAGUAAUUAUCGAUCUUGAUUACAUGAUUGAUCAAUUUUGGACUGCAGUAGUUGGUAAAAAUCUUUGGUUUCUUCGUCUUCGGCAUUACAGGUUGGUGUGUAAAUUUGAAAUAUGGCUUUGAAAAUAUGUCCUUGGUGAUAGAAAUGAUGCUGGAGAUUGCAGUAUAGAAUUUUGCAAGACCAACCACCUAUUUAUUGGAAAUACCAUUUUUCAACACCGUAAACGUUGACUGUACACGUGGACCUUGCCAGAUAGAAUACACAGAAAUCGAAUCAACUACAUCUGUGCAAAGAUGAUGGAGAAGCUUGAUAUCAUCAGUCAGAACAACGCCAGAGGUCGACUGCAGAACAGGCCAUCAAUUGCUGAUAUGCAAGUUCAGAAUGAAGCUAAAGAGAAUUAAAACAGGUCCCCCCCCCCCCAAAAAAAAAAACCCACUGCUGUCGGCUUGACUCCGACUCACAGCAACCCUAUAGGACAGGGUAGAACUGCCCCAUUGAGUUUCCAAGGAGUGCCUGGCGGGGUCAAACAGUUGACCUCUUGGUUAGUAGCUGUAGCAGUUAACCCCUACGCCGCCAGGGUUUCCAAAACAGGUCCAGGAGAGCCAAAGUAGAACCUUGAGUAUUUUCCACCUGAAUUUAGAGACCAUGUCAAAAAUAGAUUUGCCACAUUGAACACCAAUGAGUGAAGACCAAGACAAGUUAUGGGAUGACAUCAAGGACAUCAUGCAUGAAGAAAGCAAAAGGUUCGUUAAAGAGACAGGAUAGAAAGAAAAGACCACAAUGGAUGUCAGAAGAGACUUUGAAACUUGCUCUUGAACGUAGAAUAGCUGAAGCGAAUGGAAGAAAUGACAUCAAAGAGCUGAAAGAAGAUUUCAGAGGGCAGCUCUAGAAGAAAAAGUAUGAUAAUGAAAUGUGCAAAGACUUGGAGUUAGAAAACCAAAAGGGAAAAACACGCUCAGCAUUUCUCCAGCUAAAAGAAUUGAAGAAAAAAUUCAAGCCUUGAGUUGCAAUAUUGAAGGAUUCUGUGGGCAAAAUAUUGAAUGACUCAGGAAACAUCAAAAGAGGAUGGAAGGAAUACACAGUCACUGUACCAAAAAGAAUUGGUCAGUGUUCAGCAAUUUUAGGAGGUAGCAUAUGAUCAAGAACCGAUGGUAUUGAACAAAGAAGUCCAAGUUGCAUUGAAAGCAUUGGCAGAAAACAAGGCUUUAGGAAUUGACGGAAUACCAGCUGAGACAUUUCAACAAAUGGAUACAGCAUUGGAAGUGCUCACUCAUCUAUCGCAAGAAAUUUGGAAGACAGCUACCAGGCUAACUGACGAAGAGAUCCAUGUUUGUGCCCAUUCCAAAGAAAAAGUGAUCCAACUGAAAGCUGAAAUUAUCGAACGAUAUCAUUAAUAUCGCACACAAGUAAAAUUUUGCUGAAGAUUAUUCAAAUAUGCUUGUAGCAGUACGUUAACAGGGAACUGUCAGAAAUUCAAGUUGGAUUCAGAAGAGGACAUAGAAUGAGAGAUAUCAUUGCUGAUGUCUGAUGGAUCUUGGCUGAAGGCAGAGAAUACCAGAAAGAUGUUUACCUGUUUUUUACUGACUAUGCAAAGGCAUUCAACUGUGUGGUCAUAACAAAUUAUGGGUAACAUAGGUAAGAAUGGGAAGUCCAAAACACUUAAUUGUGCUCAUGAGGAACCUGUACGUAGACCAAGAGGCAGUUAUUUGAACAGAACCGGGGGAUACUGCAUGGUUUAAAAUCAGAAAAGGUGUGUGUCAGGGUUGUAUCCUUUCCCUGUGCUUAUGCAAUCUAUAUGCUGAGCAAAUAAUCCAAGAGCUGGACUAUAUGAGGAAGAACAUGGCAUCAGGAUUGGAGGAAGACUCAUUAACAACCUGCAGUAUACAGAUGACACAGCCUUGCCUGCUGAAAGUUAAGAGGACUUGAAGCACUACUGAUGAAGAUCAGCGACUACAGCUUUCAGUAUGGAUUACACCUCAAUAUAAGGAAAACAAAAAUCCUCACAACUGGACCAAUAAGCAACAUCAUGAUAAAUGUAGAAAAGAUGGAAGUCAUUUUAUUUGGAUCCACAAUCAAUGCCCGUGGAAGCAGGAAAUCAAACGACAUAUUACAUUGGGCAAAUCUGCUGCAAAAUACCUCUUUAAAGUGUUAAAAUGCAAAGAUGUCACUUUGAAGGCUAAGAUGUGCCUGACCCAAGCCACCAUAUUUUCAGUUGCCUCAUUUUUUUCAUAUGAAUGGGAAAGCUGGACACUGAAUAAGGAAGACUGAAGAAUUGAUUCUUGGAAUGAUGUUGUUGCUGAAGCAUGUUAAAUACACCGUGGACUGCCAGAAGAACCAACAAAUCUGUCUUGUUGCCCUGGUGGCACGGUGGUGAAGAGCUAUGGUGAACUACGGCUGCUAAACAAAAGUUUGGCAGUUCGAAUCUGCCAGGCGCUCCUUGGAAACCCUAUAGGGCUGUUCUACUCUGUCUUACAGGGUCCCUGUGAGUCAGAAUCAACUAGAUGGCAAUGGUUUUUUUUGUUGUUGUUGUUAAGGAAAGACCAGUCCUUAGAGAAGGACCCAUGCUUGGUAAAGUACAGGGUCAGUGAAAAAGAGGAAGAUCCUCAAUAAGGUAGAUUGACACGGUGGCUGCAACAACGGGCUCAAGCAUAACAGUGAUUAUUAGGAUGGCUCAGGACUGGGCAGUGUUUCAUUCUGUUGUACAUAGGGUCACAUUUAUCAUUUGUCAGAACUGACCAGACGGCAACUAACAACAACAACAACAACAAAAUUUGUGGAAUUGAGUUCUCAAAAUCUUUACAACAACUCUUGAAACUUUAAGCUUCUAGCUAGGACUGUUAUAAUUUAAUUUGCUGUUUUCAGAAGGAGAAAUAACUUUUAUAGCAGUUAAAGUUUAUUUAACAUGCUGAAGUUAAAAUAAUUUUAUUUGGUUUUUUGGGACUACAUAAAAUAAUGGCACAUUUACCAUUGGUGGCAUCUUAAGUUUAAUGAGUUUGUGAUAUAAUUUUACGUUGAUCGUUGUGACAUUGCCUGGGCUGGUCAUAUUUAUUUAAGAAGAGAUUAAAGUGUUACCAGCCUUACAAUCUUUAGAGGGGCUUGGAGCAGAUGGAGAUUUGGAUCCCAGUUCUACAUCUUAGCACAUUUUAAAAUUAUGAAAUAUGUAGAGUUUUCUUGGAGACAGAACUUUGUGUCUGGAAUAUUGGAGAAAUUUUUUUUUGCCUUUGGGGCACUGUUUUUAAAAUGAAAAAAGGGGUAGUUUCCCAAAUGACCUUGAUUAAUUUGUGACCCUGUGUAUGGGUAGGGGGUGGGGGAGGUUAUUUCCCAUUGCCUUAAUUUAAAUCCUUCUUUCUAAAGGAGAAUUACGUAGUUAUUUUGUGGCUAUUGUAUAUUGUCCUGCAGUAAGAAAAAAAAGAUCUAAAGAGCUCUGGGUGUCCACUGGAGAAGUUGAUAUUAUAAACACAGCCCUUCUGCGUAGCAUCCUUUUACAAAUGUGAAGAUAUACAGAUGGGGAAAAGAGUUAAGUAGUAGGGUGAAAAAGGAAGGUGAGAAGAAUUCCUGGUAGAGAGCAAAGACAGAUUGGUGAGAAGACGUCUGGAGGAGAGAUUGGAAUGCCAAUGGAGAAGGCACAGAUCAAAGACAAAGAGGAGAUGCUCACACCAGAGGUGAGGAAUGGCCAGGAUGGUGCUUAGAGGAGCAUGUUUCUCUUGUCGUCUGAUAUGCCCACUCCAUUUUAACAUCUCUAAAAUUGGGAUGUUUCUUAUAAUCAGUCAUAUCCCAUAGCUUAGUAAACAGUAUUUGGUUUUCUUUUUUGGUACUAUAUAAAAUAAUGGCACAUUUACCUUUGGUGGCAUCUUAAGUUUAAUGAGUUUAUGAUAUAAUUUUACAUUGAUCAUAAGUAGUAUUGGCUGUAUUAGCCUGUAUAUUUUACAUGAUGUUAUCUGGCAGGCAAAUAAAUUGUUUUAAAACACCCCGAAACAGACACUCAGCAUUAAACUGAUUUGGACAGCUGACUCUGAUGUUAUCUCAAUAGAAACCUCCUCUCUAAAGUGAUUUAUGUGAAACUAGCAACCACUUUUGUAAAAGGUUCACCACUGAACAGGCUGUAUUUGCAGUUUCCAGAAAUUCUGAAGCAAAUGCAAGUAAUCACUAGGUGAAAAUCAAAGAAACCUUUUUCCAUUCAUGCUAGUUGAGAAGGGUCACUUUCCUUGCAGCGCAUAUUUAUUAAGCAAGAAUAACUUGUUUGCCAAUGUCAUGGUAUUGCUUAGACAUCGUUGGUACACAGUUUAUCUCAGGUUCAUCUCUGUUUUACCGUAACUGUCAAGCCCACAUGAGAUGUUGGUGGUUCGGUGGUAGAAAUCUCACCUUCUGUGCAGGAGAUCCAGGUUUGAUGCCGGGCCAGUGCACCUCAAUAGCAGCCACCAACCAUCCGUCAGUGAGGGCUGUGUUGCUGUGAUUUCGAAUAGGGUUCAGCAGAGCUUCCGGGUUAAGACAGACUGUGAAGAAAAUCCUGGUGAUCUGCUUCUGAAAAUCAGCCAAUGAAAACCUUAUGGUUCAUGAUUGUCGAAUCCCUAGCCAAUCAUGGGGAUGGCGCAGCACUAAGCAGCAUUUUGUUCCCUUGUGCUCAGAGUUGCCUUGAGUUGGGGGUCCUACUCGACAACAACUAACAAUAGCAACGUUGAGCUUGCAGACCUACUUAUCUUGUUUUACAUUGGGCAUUUGAGUAAAAAUGCCCUUUCUUAACUUUUUUCCUCUUAUUUGGUUGUUGAAAAGCUGAGUCAAAUGCGAAGCAGCCUUAGUUAAGGGAUAUAAAAUCUUUUAGCUUACAUUUUAGGUAUGGACUACCUUACCCUCACUUCAUCAGAACUUUCUUACCUAUUUUUUUCCAUUCUCCAGACUCUUAUUUUCUAAAUUUUAUUUUGUUGCUGUUGAGAAUAUACACAGCAAAACAUGUACCAAUUCAGCAGUUUCUACGCAUUCAGUUUUGUGACACUGAGUAUAUUCUUCGAGUUAUGCAGCCAUUCUUACCCUCCUUUACUGAAUUGUUCCUCAUUAACAUAAACUCACUGCCCCCUAAGGUUCCUGUCUAGUCUUUUAAGUUUCUGUUGUCAAUUUGAUCCCAUAUAGAUAUUACUUAAAAGAGUAUAAUGCUCAAGGCAGACAGUUUUUAUUAGUUAAGCUAUCUUUCGAUUUUAAGAUAAUUUCAGGAGAUAUUUUUGGUUUAAGGUUUAAAGAUUACCUCAGGACAGUAUUUCAGGAGUUCAUCCACCCUCCAUGGUUCCAGAAAGUCUAGAGUUGGUGAGAAUUUGAAAUUCUGUGCUGCAUUCCCCCCUUUUGAUCAGGAUUCUUCUAUAGAAUCUUUAAUCAAAAUGUCCAGUAAUGGUAGCCAGGUACCAUCCAGUUCUUCUGGUCUCAUGGAAAAAGGGGCAGUUGUUCAUGGAGACAGAUAGCCACACAGUCCAUAUCCUCCUACUAUUCCUGACUCAUUCUUCCUCUGUUGUUUCAGGUGAAUAGAGAACUAUUGUGUCUUAGACGGCUGCUUGCACGCUUUUAAGUCCCCAAGCACUAUGCAAUUAACUAGGAAGUAGAACAGAAGCACUAAACACAUUUCUUAGGCCGGUUAACUGGGAUGUUCCAUGAAACCAUGUCACUAAACCUCCAAACCAAGGAACCACAUUCCAUGCAAUGUUUGGUUGCACAUAAGCAUCCUCAGCAGCUACUCUUUUGGUCAUUGUUGUAAAUAUAUCUAUGACACAACUUUUGGCAAUUCACCUUUUUACAGGGAUACAACUUAUUAACAGCAAUUACAGUAAUUGGUCAUGCAACUCUAAAAGCAAUUUUUUUUUUUUUGAAUGUAUAAUGCUGUAUAUAUAUGUCUUAGCUACAUUCCAUCUGUUUUGGAAUGGAGUAGGGUAUAAAUAAAGGUUCAAAACAUCAACAAACAAAAUCUAUCUUUUAAAAACAAGUUUUCCCAUGUAGUGAAAACAGCAGCUUGAGACAGGUAAAGUGUCCAUUUUUGUUUCCCUUUUUUCAUAUGUAUCGUAAAUGAGGUGAGACGUGUGGAGGAAAGGGGAAUUUCGUUUUGCUGAUGUUUGGAUGAUUCUAGUGUUUGGGGUCUAAAAAGGAUUGUAAGCUCUUUCAGGUUAUUCCUAAUUUAGAGAUAACCAAAAACCCACUGCUCUUGAGUCGAUUUCUGGCUUCAUAGCAGCUCUAUAGGACAGAGUAGAACUGUCCUGUCAGGACUGCCCCAUCCUUCUGCUGUGGAACAACUGGUGGGUUUUGAACCACUGACCUUUGGGUUAGCAGCCGAGUGCUUUAACCCCUGUACUACCAGGGCUCCUUAAUGUAGAGAUAGACUCGACGGCAGUGGGUUGGUUUUUUUUUUUUUGGUUGGAUUUUUAAAGAAAAAGACAAUUUAAAAGUUGGGUGAUUUUUAAAGUUACUAUUGCUUAAUUGAAAUAAUGUGAGAGAGCUGUAUUUUUUUCUAACAGAAAAGGUGGUUUUCUCCUGGUAGGUUGCCCGAGCAUAGAGAAAGUAGAAAGAAGUGUACCCACAUUUCUGUGCAUCUGUGUGUGUUUUAAAUUGAAAAUUAAUUAUGUGAAUAAAAUAAAGAGAACCUAUAGUUUACAAAACAGUGAAAGGAAAGAAAGUGGGGUGGAGAGGUUUGGUUAUCAUUAUUAUUUUAUUCAAACACCUGCCUGCUAAUCUAACCGAAUUGAGCCCAAAGUGCUCCUGGACUCAUCUCUCCAUUGGCAUAUUUUGCUGUCUCUCCCUAUUUCUUUUCACCUUUGAAGUAACAGUGUAGGUUGAAAGAUUGAGAAUUGUAUUCAGUCAGCGAUAUAAAUAAAAUUAUACUAAUCUAAUGUUGUGUGUAAUGUCAGCUCUUUUAUUAUUUACUUUUCUUGCUGCUUUCUUUUGUUAGUACCUAUGUUCUCUCCCCCCUCCCCCCCACCUGUCUUUGCUUUGCACUUCUUUUUCUUACAUUAGGUACAAAUUUCCCCCAUCAUCCCCGUUUGCCUGCCCUUGGAGAUGAAAGUCAUUUCUGAGUAUUUAUUGUCUUAGAAUACUUAAAACUAUUUCUAAUUUUGUGAGACAUCUGGCACUAUCAGUUAAUCCAAAACACUAAUCUAGAGAUAAAAUUAGGCUUCUUGAUCAGUUUGAUGCUGAAAAUACUAUUAUAUUAGCUCUUGCAUUAAUAUGGAGGGAAUUAAUACGAAAAUGUUUGGAAACUUCAGCUUCUUUCCAGUAAUAUGUUAUAAUUCAUUCAUCCUGGAGUUAAUAAGCUAACUCUAGAUUAUUAAUCUUGUAUUACUAUUUUGGGUCAUUUUCCUACAAGUUUUGAAAGAAUAUUAGUUCUUUUUAACAAAUACAGAUUCAUAGAAAGUUUCAGUUUUUUUCUUGGGUAUUUUAUAGUUGGAAUUUAUGGAAAAGUUUUUAUAAGGACGUUCUACCUUGAAGUAUUCAUUUGUAUUUAAACAAUGAAAAGAAUAAGCAAAGAAAGUGGCAUUGAAUGAAGCUUAUUAAUACCCUAUUCAGUCAGCUAAAAUUAUGAAAUAGUGUACUAAUUCAAUCCAGAAAGUACUGUAUAUUGUCUUUUUCUCUCAGAAAGCAUAUGUGAUUAUUUUUGGUAAAGGCAGCUGAGUGAGAAUUUAGAUCGUUGCAUAUCCAAUAGAAGGAAAUCUAGAUAUAGUUAUUAGAAAAGUUCCUGAAUAACAUGCCUGUUUUUUAAAGCAUUGAAACAAAAAUGACUGUAAAAUUCUCCUUUGAUUAUCAUACAAAAUAGAUUGUUGUCAUUUUUAAUAAUAAUUUUGACACUUCUGGUCCUGUAGUUGGGUUAUAUGUUAAUUUAUAGUGUGUUACUCUUUAAAAAAAGAAAUUAUAUAGGAAAAACCAAAAACCUGUAAAAUCUUGGUAACAGAAUUGAAUAAGGGCUCCUAGCCUAUGAAACUGAGGCCUUUUUUUUUUUUUUUUUUUGGAGGAGGGGAGGUUAUUCCAGCUGUGGCAGUAGGAAACUUUAUCACUGCUGUUAUCUCCUUAUGCCAGGACAGCUGCAGCGUUCUCAGAGUUGGUCUCCUGAUCACCAGUCUCACCCACUCUCCAUUUUAUUUUGCACCCAUUUGCAGGGUUAUUGAAGAUUAAAUGAGAUGGUGCAUGUAGAGUGCUUGAUACAGUGUCAGACUCAGAGUAAUCAUUCAGUAUUUGGUUUGGAGCAUCCUCUCUACCCCAUUCUUUUAAUUGUUAAUACAAUUCGUCCAAAACACUAGAAUGGCAGUUAACCAAGCAAACAAACCUGUUGCUGUCGAGUUGACUCCAACUUAUAGCAACCCUAUCGGAUAGAGUAGAACUGCGCCAUAGGGUUUCCAAGGAGCGCCUGGUGGAUUCAAACUGCCAGCCUUUUAAUUAGCAGCCAAACUCUUAACCACUGCGCCACCAGGGUAAAACCAACCUCAGUCUACCUUCCCAGACUUACUGGGCCAGAGGCUUCAAAGGAUCUGAGAAUCCCUGAGAUUGUGUGUGUAAUAUUUUGUGUGUGUGUGUGACUUUUUAAAGAAAAGGAUCCAUUAGCUUUCAUCAGAUUCUGAAAGUGAUCCCUGACCUUCGUCACACCCAAAAAGCUUAGAACCAUGGCAGUCUAAAAGAGGUGAUUUAUUUAAAGUUAAAUUUAUCCUUGAGCUUGGCUAGGAAGAAUUAUGAUUAUUGUUGGAACAUAGCACACUUUUGAAUGAAGGCUAAGUUCAUGUUUCUGCUGGGAUGGAGAACCUUGAUGAGUGUAGCAUUUACAGGCACUUUAUAUCUUUGAGAAGGAGCCCUGGUAGUGCAGUGGUGAAACACUCAGCUGUUAAACUGGAGGGUCGGCUGUUUGAACCCAACAGCUACUGUGCAGGAGAAAGAUGUGGCAGUCUGCUUCCUUAAAGAUGACAGCCUCGGAAGCCCUAAGGGGCAGUUCCACUCUGUCCCGUAGGGACGCUAUGAGUCAGAGUUGACUCGACGGCAAAAGGUUUUUAGUUCUUUGACUUGUUUGCAGUAUGUCGUGGACCAGGUUGGCAUAUAAGCUUAGGACAUAGUUCUGUGAUAUAUUUUGGAAGUUCAUUGACAGCAGAAAGCUAGACACCCAAAAUGUUAGAACUAGUUGCUUCUAAAAGGUUUUUCUGGUGUGUGCUUUUUAUUCAAGGAGCUCGGUUUCUUGAGGUAAUCAGUUUUGCUUUUAGACCUGGGUUUUUAAAGAAAAAGUGAUAAUGGUUAUACCUUCUUGGGGAGGUAGUUCUAAUACAACAUCAAAUGAUUUUUUAAAAUUAGAAUGUCUGCAUCCCCCAAAACAAAAACAAAACAACAAACCGAAAAGAAGAACUCGAAAUCUUUUCCAGGGCAGAGCAAAAUCAAAUCAAGCUUACCUUUGAGCUUUACCCUGAUCUUUAACUGGUGUGUCUGUGGUUAACCCUUCACGUGGGUCGAUGAUGUGUGUUCUGGGAGAGCAAAGGUAAUCAGGUUUUAUGUCGAUCUGAAAGUUACCCAUUAUCAGGUUUGCAUUUGAUGUUGACAUCUCUAAGCAAAUUCUAUGUCCCGAAGCAAAUCGCCCUUUAGGAGCAUGUGUUGGGAAUGCUUUUAUACUUCUUAUCACUGAAAGCUUGUUAAUUGCACAAGGGGAAGCCUUUUCCCUCCUGAAAUUCCAUGCUGCUUUAAAAGUAACUCUUUAAAUAGAAAUAUUGCAUCUGCAACAUAUUAAGACUGGCUUCUUCUGACAGGUCCAGACCAAUUUUUUUUUUUUAACUUUAUUGGCUAUAUAAAAGAAAGAAAGAAAAAAAAAAACUGCCUGUGUAGCACAUAAAAUUCAUUUGAAUUACCUGAAUUUUAAGAAAAUAUUUGGCAAAAUGUGUUUUUAUAAAUCCUAGGUGCCUAAUUAUGAGGUUCUGCUAAUACCUUUCUCCAAUCUUAUCACUUCCUUUUGUCUGCAACCAGGAUCCCUUCCCUUGUGAAUAGGACGCUGGGGAAAAGGGUAGGUGGGGUUAAAAGGGAAGCACAAUCCCUUGUGUUUCCUGCAUCUCUUCUUAUUGCUCGAUCAGCCUGGAUUGUGAGCUGAAAUUGAAGAGCAGAAUUUAAUGUUGACCUCUAAAGUUGAUGGUCAAAAAGGGUUUAUUUGUCUUCACUAAAGCCUGUCGAUUUUUGAAUUGGAUGGAGUGCUUUGCCUGUAAAAGCUUUGAAAUGUAAACAUUGAGGAAAUAACAUUUUAUAAUGACUAAGUAACAUAACAUAUGCAGGUGCACAUCUUAGAAUUUUCUCAUUUACCCUAAAACCUAUACUAAAUUAUCAUUUAGGAAGGAAUUUUUAGCUAUUAGAAUGGGAUAGACUGUGUGGUUUAAUACCACAGUUUCUACUGUGGUCCUUCCUAAAAGCAUUUUUGGUUGAUCAUAAAAACACGGUACGUAGAGGAUUGUCUUUUGGGAAUAAUAGUCAUGUGGUUUAGAAAUAAGCAGAGGAAAAGGACACCCUUACGUUGUUACAUUAAAUCUGCCUUUUUCCCACGCUGUCAUUACUGUAGCACCUCCUCUGCUGCUUGGCAGGUAGAACAUUGUCUUGUGUUAAGUCUUCCACUUGUUUUCAGAAUUAUGUGGGUGCACCAGUGAAAAGCCUUGAUUUCUGAGUCUAGUUUUAUUUGUUUACUUGAAUUACUACAUUGAAAGGUUCCGUCCCCUUCGUGGUGUCAGUCUCCUUUGUGUAUGUUACAGUCCUAACAGGACCUUGUAGGCGAUUGAUCAAUAUUCAUUGAAUUAAUAUAUUAACAUUUAUCAUUCUAAUUUAGAUAACACAAGAAUUUGUAUAUGGAGAUUGUGGUUACUUUUUAGCCAGAUAUAUGCUUUUGGAAUAAAGAAGAAUAUGAUUUUAAGUGAUAUUGACAGGAGGUUAGCAGAAAGGAAAAGGUUGCUGUACUAGAUUAUUACAUAAAUUUAAAAUACAGAGUCUAAGCCUUUGUAGUGAUUGUUAACCAGGGUGUGCAUCAUAUGUCUGCCUCCCAGCCCAGACCUGCUAAAUCCAAAUCUCCGGAGAUAGAGACAUCCAUUUUCAAACAGCUUUAUCAGUGGUUCUGAUAUGUGUUACUAUUUGCAGGUACAUUUUGUGAUAGUUUUGUAGCAAUUAAUCAUUACUCUAUGUGACAUGGAUUUUAACAUAUUUGAAGUUUUGAACAAAAUGUCCACAAGUCAUGAGCACAUUCAUUGUUUAAAAUCUCAAUGGCCAUUCAGUAGAUGUUAAGUUCUUUCACCUUUCUCUUAGAAGUGGGAUUUUCAUGCUAGUAUCAAAUAACCCUGAAAAUGCUUUGCGUGAACAUCAGGUAACAUACAGAUAUGAAGAGAAUAGACAGAUGUAGCCACAGAGGGGAGGUUUAAGAAGUGUUGAGUAGUCUCCAUACUUUCCUCCUAGAUAGAGAGCUUUCCUGAGAGCUAACCCUAGCACAAUGCCUAGCACAUAACAAAUGUGGAAGGAAUGAACCAUAUGAUACAGUUGGUUAGGACCAUGUGGAUCAUCCAUUAGAUCCAGUAUUUGAGAAGACUGAAGGGCCAGUGGGGUUAGGUGUAGUGGGUUUAGCACAGGGCUUGGAACCGAUUUGUUUCAGUCUGAACCCCUGCUGAGAAUUUACAUUUCUAAUAAGUUCCCAGGGAUGCUAGUGCUGUUGGUUUGGGACCAAUUCUGAGAACCACUAGUAGAGCAGUCAUCCUCAAAAUUUAUUGUAUGUAAGAAUUACCUGAUGAUCUUGUUAAAAAUGUAGAUGCUGAUUUAGUAUAUCUGAGGUAGAAAUGCAAGUUCUUAGCAGGGGUUUGAACUCAAAUGAACUGAUUCAAAGCCCUGGUUUAGCGUUGGACACAGAGGUAGCAAUCUGGCUUCUCAUUUGAGAUCUGCACUUGGCGGUUGUGUGACUGUGAGCACCUUCUUUAAACUCCUCUCUGCCCUUCCCCCCAGUAUUGUUUCUCAUCUGUGAAGUAAAGGUGAAAGAACGUACCUUACAUGGUUGUCAUAGGGUUAAAUGAGAUUCAGUAUGUGAAAAGCUUUAACACAGUAGGUAGUCAGGGAACGUUGCACCACACACACCUAUUGAUAGCCUCUUCACUGGCUUAUAAGGGUGAAGUAGGUUUCUUGAAUUAGAAGAUACUGUUUUGUUAAGUGUCUAACCUAGAAUCUGAAAGUCAGUGAGUGAUAGAGCCAGGAAUAGAAAGAACUCAGCCUCCUAACUGCCAGUCCAAAAAAGAGUCAAUGAUGAAGGUUAAGACUUCUGAAUUGUCUGGGCUGUAACUUGUUAACAGGCUAUAAGUUUUGUACCAUCAUUGCUUUUUGUAUUUUUUAUAAUAUUGUGCAUGCUGCACAAAUCAAUUUCAGUGCAUUAAAAUUCAGUAUAUGAUUAAUCAGAAAAAGGGUUGCUAGGAAAAUUGACUUAUGUGAACAGCCCAAGAUUUUUAAUUUAUCUGAUUGUGGAAGAAUAAUCACUUUUUUUUUAAUGCCUUUUUCCUCCCACUGACACUAUUCUGUUAGCAGGUUUUUCUGACAGAUAUUCAUGGAGUAAAUGAAGUUUAUCCCUACCCACAAAAAGGAAGUUUCUAAUACAUUUCUUUCCCCAAAAGGCAUUUUUCACAUCAUUCACGAAUAAAUAACUAAAUUUAGACUAAAGUAGAAAGUCAGCGAAAACAAGGGAAACCUCAGUGAGGUUGAUUGACACAGUAGCGGCAACAGUGGACUCAAACUUGAAGUUGAUGGAGGACCUGGCAUUGUUCUGUUUGCCAUGAGUUCCCCAUGAGUUGUUGACUCAACAGCAACUAACAAUAACAACAGACUUAGAAAAGAGGGGAAAGUAUAUAUUUCUAUUUAUUAGGCUUAUUCUAAAAAAUAACUAGAGUGUGUUUUAUAACAUUAUGGCUCAAAAUGCACUAACUUGAAAUGUGUUUUUAUAACAUAUAGGAUGCAGAGCCAGGUGUCUACCUGGGUACUGUCUUGCCUUGAGAAUGACUGCAUCUUUCUUGUGGGGUAGGCAUUAAUUGGUUAACUGAGGUAGUUUACUUGGUAUUCAUAGCAAAUACCUCUUCUGAGGUUCUAUAAAUACUGGAAUUGUCAUUUUUCUUCACUAAACAUGUAAUGGUUUCUAAAAGUCACUAUAACCUUUUAACCCCCACAUGUCUGUGAGUUUGUCAUACUGUGGGAACUUGCAUGUUGCUGUGAUGCUGGAAGCUAUGCCACCGGUAUUCAGAUACCAACAUAAACAUUGAUAUCACCCACGGUGGACAGGUUUCAGCUGAGCUUCCAGACUAAGACAGACUAGGAAGGACUUGGCAGUCUACUUCUGAAAGGAAUUAGCCAGUGAAAACCUUAUGAAUAGCAGUGGAACACUGUCUGAUAUAGUGCCAGAAGAUGAGCGCCCCAGGUUGGAAGGCACUCAAAAGACAACUGGGGAAGAGCUGCCUCCUCAAAGUAGAGUUGACCUUAAUGAUGUGGAUGGAGUCAAACUUUAGGGACCUUCGUUUGCUGAUGUGGCACUAUUCAAAAUGAGAAGAAACAGCUGCAAAUAUCCAUUAAUAAUUGGAACGUGGAGUGUAUGAAGUAUGAAUCUAGGAAAAUUGGAAAUCAUCAAAAAUGAAAUGGAACACAUGAACAUUGAUAUGCUGGGCAUUACUGAGAUGAGAUGGACUAAUACUGGCUGUUUUGAAUCGAACAAUAAUACGAUCUACUAUGCUGGGAAUGACAACUUGAAGAGGAGUGGCAUUGCAUUCAUCAUCACAAAGAACAUUGCAGGAUCUAUCCUAAAGUACAACACCGUCAGUGAAAGGAUAAUAUCCAUAUGCCUACAAGGAAGACCAGUUAAUACGACAUUAUUCAAAUUUACACACCAACCACUAAGGCCAAAGAUGAAGAAAUUGAAAAUUUUUACCAACUUCUGCAGUCUGAAAUUGAUCAAACAUGCAGUCAGGAUGCAUUGAUAAUUACUGGUGAUUGGAAUUCGAAAGUUGGAAACAAAGAAGAAGGUUUGGUAGUUGGAAGUAUGACCUUGGUGAUAGAAACAAUGCCAGAGAUUGCAUGAUAGAAUUUUGCAAGACCAACAACUUCUUCAUUGCAAAUACCUUUAUCACCAAUGUAGACAGUGAAUAUAGGUGUGGAUUUUGCCGGAUAGAAUACACAGGAGUCAAACCAACUACCUCUGUGGAAAGACAAUGGAAAAGCUCAAUAUCAUCAGUCAGAACAAGGCCAGAGCCCAACUGUGGAACAGACCAUCAAUUGCUCAUGUGCAAGUUCAAGUUGAAGCUGAAGAAAAUUAGAACAAGUCCACGAGAGCCAAAGCAUGACAUUGAGUAUAUCCCACCUGAAGUUAGAGACCAUCUCAAGAAUACAUUUGACACUUUGAACGCUAAUGACCAAAGACCAGACAAGUUGUGGAAUGACAUUAAGGACAUCAUACGUGAAGAAAGCAAGAGGUCAUUAACAAGACAAUAGAAAAGACCAAAAUGGAUGUCAGAAGAUUCUGAAACUUGCUUUUGAACAUUGAGUAGCUAGAGCAAAAGGGAAAAACGAUGAAGUAAAAGAACUGAACAGAAGAUUUCAAAGGGUGGCUCAAGAAGACAAGGUAAAGUAUUAUAAUCCCAUGUGAAAGAGCUGGAGAUAGAAAACGAAAAGGAAAUAACACAAAACAUUUCUCAAGCUGAAAGAACUGAAGAAAAAAUUCAAGCCUCGAGUUGCAAUAUUGAAGGAUUCUAUGGGCAAAAUAUUGAAUGACGCAGGAAACAUCAAAAGAGGUUGGAGGGAAUACUCAGAAUCACUAUACCAAAAAUAAUUGAAUGGCAUUCGACCAUUUUAGGAGGUAGAGUAUGGUCAAGAACUAAUGGUAUUGAAGGAAGAAGUCCAAGCUGUGCUAAAAACAUGGGCAAAAAACAAGGCUCCAGAAAUUGACGGAAUAGCACUUGAGAUGUUUCAACAAAUGAAUGCAGCACUGGAAGCGCUCACUCAUCUAUGCCAAGAAAUUUGGGAGAUAGCUACCUGGCCAUCCGACUGGAAGAGAUCCAUAUUUAUGCCUAUACCCAAGAAAGGUGAUCUAAUAGAAUGUGGAAAUUAUCAAACAGUAUCAUUAGCAUCACACACAAGUAAAAUUUUACUGAAGAUCAUUCAAAAGAGGCUGUAGCAGGGAACUACCAGAAAUGCAGGCCAGAUUCAGGAGAGGACAUGGAACCAGGCAUAUCAUUGCUGAUGUCAUAUGGAUCCUAGCUGGAAGCAGAGAAUUCCAGGAAGAUAUUUACCUGUGUUUUACUGACGAUGCAAAGGCAUUCAACUGUGUGGAUCGUAACAAAUUAUGAGUAACAUGGCGAAGAAUGGGAAUUCAAGAACACUUAAUUGUGCUCAUAAGGAACCUGUAUAUAGAUCAAGAGGCAGUUGUUCGAACUGAACAAGAGGAUACUAUGUGGUUUAAAAUCAGGAAAGGUGUGCAUCAGGGUUGUAUCCUUUCACCGUAUCUAUUCAAUCUGUGUGCUGAGCAAAUAAUCCAAGAAGCUGGAGUGUAUGAAGAAGAAUGGGGCAUCGGGAUUGGAGGAAGAUUUAUUAACAUCCUGUCCUAUGCAGAUGACACAACCUUGCUGAAAGUGAAGAGGACUUGAAGUACUUACUGAUGAAGAUCAAAGACUACAGCCUUCAGUAUGGAUUAUAUCUCAACAUAAAACAAAAAUCCUCAUAGCUGGGCCAAUAAGCAACAUCAUGAUAAAUGGAGAAAAGACUGAGGUUCUCAAAGAUUUCAUUUUACUUGGAUCCACAAUCAACACUCAUGGAAGCAGCAGCCAAGAAAUCAAAACACGCAUUGCAUUGGGCAAAUCUGCUGCAAAAGACCUCUUUAAAGUGUUGAAAAGCAAAGAUGUCACCUUGAAGAUUAAGGUGCACCUGACCCAAACCAUGGUAUUUUCAGUCACAUCCUAUACAUGUGAAAGCUGGACAGUGAAUAAGGAGGACCGAAGAAGAGUUGACACCUUUGAAUUGUGGUGUUGGAGAAGAAUAUUGAGUAUACCAUGGACUGCCAGAAGAAGGAACAGAUCUGUCGUGGAAGAAUGCUCCUUAGAAGCAAGGAUAGCGGGACUAUGUCUUACAUACUUUG